rnacentral:lncRNA from 1 species
AUGAAUAAUGCGACCUGUUUUAUUUACCUUUGAAAGGAAACUAUUAAAAUAUCCAUCUUCAAGAAGCAUCUAAACCUCUCCUCUCUGUACAUGCAACAAAAAUCCUGGAUACAGUCAAAGAGCCUCUGAAUUACUUGAGUACUCUAGAACUUGAUGAGCAGGCAAAAUUCCAGCCAAUGGCCUUAUGGUAGGGUCUCUAGAUAGACGUGCUUGACUUUUAUUGGGUACAGUAGCUUAAAGAGCGAUGCGGUUCGAGGUAGCCAGUAGCUUAGCUCUCUACUUCUUCGGGGCGGAUGAAGUUACUGAUAAGGUUAGCACAAAACUAGACUAAGAAAGUUAGAACAUCACAUACUAAAGGCAAAAAACCUAUCAUCCGAUGACAAAAGUAAGGCCUUGUACAUGAGAUCUGGUGUCCCCGAUCAUCGAUUCGGGAUAAAGACGAGACGAAGGUACCAUGGAACCGACAGGGUGCCCUUUGAGGCAGAGUGAUUUUUUCCAUUGGCUCGCCUUUAGACUUCUGCCCUUCCUGUGCUUCUAUCACAAGAACCUGCAGAUUUCGCGAUUUCAAAAUCACAUUAAACGUCAUUACCGGUAGGCAAACCUACAUGAUGAUUGCAUUGAAACUCUUAAACUUAACCUGGGACACAGCUGUUCCUUAAUUAUGUGCCCAAGAGACGAUCCAACCACCGUCCUCUCCAGGACCAUCUUUUGCAGGGACAAGAACACACCUGCCGCAGAAGCUGUCCUUUUAGAAAUUAUGGUAGCCGACUUUCAUCAACUUCUUGUGAUAUUUUCCUCUCUAAUUCAAGGCCGCAGUGAGGUACCUUUCGACGUGUACAAUGGAUAAUUAGAAUGACUCAAAAAAACUUUCAAUAAUACCUCAGAGUCAGACAACCCAGGACCAGGUUCGUCAAAGCAUAAUUUCACAAGACCUCCAUAUUUAGCCAUUCCUGAAUCGAAUGAGUGACACGUAAACAAUAGGAACCAAUCUCAUGUGCUACUUUGGGCAAGUGGACAUGGACUCGAGAGUAGAGACUGGCAUUGCAUUACCACUUUCAGAGCUUGUUCUGAAUUGGUGGCUUGAGCAUAACCAUACCUGUUACGCAAGCCAGUGAAUUCGGCAUUUAUGAAAGGGAAGUCCAUAGAGAAUUCAGUGCCCAUAAAAUUUGACUCCUGAAUUUCCCAAAUUCCAUGUUCAGUCUCCACCCAUAGGCACAGGUAAACAGAUAGCCUCCAUGUUUGUUAGCAUUUUUAUCCACCGGUUCUCUAGAGUUGAAUCCUCUCGAAAACCACUUGAACUUGUUCAUACCCCAAUCAGGACACGGAAACACCAACGUAAGAGAUCUGCAUCUUCUCACCACAACCUGCAUUGUUGGGCAAUAUCAUUAAAGUUUAGGCUUAGUCUAAGAGGAUUUUAACCUCCAAAUUAGGCUUCUAGGAAAAUAAUACCUCAUAACCGUCCCGAAAGCACUUGAAUAUGUGAAAUAUGCAGCUUGAUUCUAUAUAAAACCAUUGGACUGAACUCGUGUCUCCAUAACGUAGCAUCACCCCUAUCCUUACAUAUCUUCCUUGUCAUACUUCAGUAACCUACAUUCCAAGAAAACAACUAGCUGCUUCAACAAAUUGAAAAACUAUCACUAAGAAAGGCAUUACCAAAUGAACGCUACAACAUGAGAUCAACUAGUUAUUCGCUGAAUCAAUUAGUACCGAAUCAUGCUGUAAUGUGCCAGUGAGGGAUCUCCGUCUUUCCAGAGCAGUCUUGACACCAAAACUCUCACAAAGCAAUUACAACGUCCAGCUCUGCCUACAUUCCUGAUCCAAAACAAAUGUUCCAUUUACACAGGCACUUCACUCCUAAUCUCACAACAGAACCACCUCCACAUAUGGUUCCCUUUGGGUUUCAUCUCCCAUAUCAAAAUGAUAUCGUUUCUUUUAUCGUGUAUAGCACGUUCUAUUAUGUCUUACUAUUCUGAACGUCCAUAAUGAGCAUCAAUGGAACAAAUCCACCUUACACAGGAUAAAAAUUCUAAUGCUUAAAUGAUUAUAAGACAAAAUCAGAAGAUGAUUUUUCCAGACGGGAUGAAUUUAAUUGACAGUCUACCCUUGGUCAAAUCUGACAUGUAAAUCUGAUCAUUGAAUACAAAAUGGCCGGAGAAUCUUGUGAAGAAAAUAUAGCAUUGCAUCAGAACAAGCUAAUUAUUUACCACGAAAAAGAAUGGUUAAGGGACUGAGAUAACUGGAGUUAAGGGAUUUCCUGAAGAGUACAUAUGGCUUAUUUGGAGCAAUUGAUCUUCCAAUUGAGCAUCCUCAUGGAAAAUAUGAAAUCGAAAGUAUCUGCACAAGCGAACAAACAUAACCACAUAGAUUUCAAGGGAGAAGCCAAUCAUUCUUCAAAAGUAGUACUUCGAAAAAUCACUCUUUGAAGUAUUUGCAGCCGUUAAGAAUAUUUUCAUAUAAGGAAAAAUCAAUCCUGACUUAAAUAGAACCUAGAUUACUCUAGUUCCAAAAAUUACUAACCUAGAAACUCUAGAUCGAUUUCGCCCCAUUAGUUUGUGCAAUUUUGCCAAUAAAAUCAUAUCCAUGGUAAUGGUGAAUAGGCUCAAACCUUGGUUAUCAAAAUUGAUAGCUCAAGAGCAAAGUGCAUUUGUGACGGGGAGACUUAUCCAGGAUAAUAUCAUGAUAGGGCAGGAACUGUUGCAUCAACUAAGAGCAAAGAAGAGGAGGAAAAAAUUCCUAGCAUUUUUUAAACUUGAUAUGAAAAAGGCGUAUGACAAAGUAGAAUGGGACUUGUUGGAGGCAUACUUAAGAAAACUGGGCUUUGAUAAAAAGUGAAUCACAUGGGUUAUGCAAUGUGUAUCUUCAGUUUCAUUCAGUGUUAAAUAUAAUCGGAAUCAUCUCCCUUACUUCCAACCUUCCAUAGGACUUUAGCAAGGUGAUCCUUUAUCCCCUCAUCUCUAUAUUUCUAUAGCAAACAUAUUAUCUCUUAUGAUGAAGAAAGCAGUGGAGGAUGGCAAUAUAAAGGUAUUAAGCUCAACUUUUUUCCCUUACCAUAUCAAAUCUCCUAUUUGCGGAUGAUUCCAUCUUCUUUUUAGAUGGGGGAAUUCAAGAAUGCCAAUCUAUAUAAGAUGUAACAUUAGUAUUGUUUUGCUACUGGAGAGGAGAUAAACCUAAACAAAUCAGGAAUACUCUUUAGCUCAGGGUGUCCACAGACCAUAAGAGCCAUUAUGGCUUAUGAACGGUGUGUCCUUGAACUGGAUAAAAUAGGAAAAUACCUUGGAAUUCCUUUGGAUUGGGGAGAGUCUAAGAAGAAUAUGUUUUGCUUGGAUACUUGGAAGGGUCCACAAAAAAUUGGAAGGUUGGAAGGAAUCUUUAACUUCUAAAGCAGGACAGGAGAUAUUAGUAAUAAUUAGUGGCCCAGGCUCUUCCUCAACAUGCAAUGUCAAUUUUCAAGAUUCCUAUUUUCAUAUGUAAAGCGAUUGAACACAGAAUGGUAGCAUUUUAGUGGAAAAGCAGAGAAUCUCACUCCGGUAUUCAUUGGAAGAGUUGGGAUUUCUCGAAGCAAAGGAAAGACAAUGGAGGCAUUGGAUUCAAAGAUUUACUUUCUCUUAACAAAGCUUUCUUAGGAAAGCAAGCCUAGAGAUUAAUGCACCAGUCUUACUGUUUAUGGGGUCAAACUUUUAAAAGGAUUUACUUCACAAAAAGGAGAUUCUGGGCAUGCUGGGAAGGGGCACAGACCCUCUUGGGGCUGGCAAAGCUUAUUAGAGGGAAGAGACUCAAUCUUAGAACCUUCAACGUGGACAGUGGAAACAGGAGAAGCACUUGGUAUCAUGGAGGACAGAUGGUUCAAAAGAGGUGUAAUUGGAGGGCUGGCAAACGAAAAUGACCCACAAGUAGUAGAGGUUAUAAACCACAAAGAAAAUUCCUAGAAUGAACCUCUUCUUCGAAAUAUUUUCAAAGAGGACACCGUGAAGGAAAUUUUGGCUAUUCCUCCAACAACCCACUCUAUUCAAGACAAAUUGGUAUGGAGAUAUUCAUCAAUAGGAAAUUACCCUGUAAAGAGUGGCUACUACUACAUAAGACUUACUGAGAAUAUCCGGAAAGCUCCAAUGGCUUCCUCAUCUUUCUUGGCUCCUCGGGCAAUAUGGAAUAAGACCUAAAAAAUGCAAACAAUUCCUAAAAUUAAGUUCUUCGAAUGGAAUCCAUGUCAGAAUAGUCUACCUACGACAGAUAACUUACACAAGCGAAAAAUAGUAUCGGAUCCUUACUGCUCACUGUGUAAAGACCAGGUGGAAUCUGGAGAGCGUCUCCUUCUCCUUAGUCCUUGGACGUGAGACAUAUGGGCUCAACCAUCCCUAAACAUUCAUGUUUCUUCCUAGGGGUCAAGCAAAAUAGAGAUAUGGCUAACGCAAUUCCUUAGAAGCACAGAAAACCCACCUUCUCUGGCGCUUGCAGCAACCAUCUCUUGGCUUAUUUGGACUUCCCGUAAUGACUUCAAGCAACCAUAGGGAGCUCUAACUUCUCUUGGCAAUUACAGGAGAUGCAAUUCAAAGCAGAAAAUCGGACCUUGACGUUCCCACCUCUUUUGAGAACUAGAAACUGCCAAAGGUCGGAUCUUUAAAGGUCAAUGUUGAUGGAUCCCUUCGUUGAAAGCUCCAUGGAAGGAGCAAUCACCUGCAUUAUUCGAAACUUAGAAGGGACGCUUGUGGAUGCACACGCAAUUAUCUCCCAAUGCCUUGUUCUGUCAUCCAGCUUCCCACAGCUGCAUGUCACCCAUCGCCAUCGUGAAACCAACUCCAUUGUGGAGGGACUGGAUUUCUUCCCCUCCCCAAAUCUUGUUGGAUUUACUUUGUAAGGAUGCCCAGUUCAUGGGCCCUGCAUUUUCAAAUUGAAUAAAAGUUAAUCAAUCAAUGACCCCAACAAAAAGGAAAAAAGAGGUAGGAAAUGUUGAUGAAAAUGGUGAUACAUCUCAACAAUGAAUUCUGUGACCUGCUUUAUUUACCUUCGAAAGGACAUGUGAAUCGUUUCCACUUGUGGCCAAAGCGCUCUGACUGAUCGGAGUUGUUUCUCUGCUGCAGUAGCGCAAUGAACGAUAUUCCAACAAGUUGCAUCGCCGAACGGCUUUUAGAAUUUUGACGCCGCGAUUCUUGGAGCUCUGUGAUUUCCAAAAGUUCAUCCGAAAUUGGCCCCCCAUCAUUCCGUAAGACCUUCGAACAGGUGUGGACAAUUUGUUGAGGCCUUGCAGUUGAUCCCUCAUUUUAGCUUCUACGCACAUUUUUGACUUUCUCCAGGCCCUGAACAUCGCCAAGCUUUGGACAAUGUUCAAGUCUCACGAAGUCGAGGUUAUCGAAGAGCAAGAGGCGCAGUAAUGUUUCGAUGGAAUCGCACCGGUUGGUAACCAAAGUUUUCAAAUUUUUCAACCUCUCAAGGCAUUUAAUGUCGACUAAAUUUUUGCAGCCAUAGACAUCUAUGGACAUAAGAUGUGUUAAUUGCGAAAUGUCGAGUCUUUCAAGGGAGUGACAGGAAUUAAUACGCAGUAUUUCCAAGUUUUUCAAUCUGCCAAGACAUUGAACUUGAAAUGGAUCAUCAUUCAUGAAUGGAGCAUGUGACUCUGUUAUGUCCAAUCUUCUCAAAGACUCUAAAUGUUCAAGGCCCUUGAGGUUGGACAACUUAUCGCAUCCACCUAUAGAUAGGUUUCCUAAAGAUUUUAGUCCUCCUAGACCCUUGAUUUCUAUCAGCUCACUGCACCCUUGGAUACUUAAUUUCAGCAAGAGUUUCAAACUUGACAAACUUGGCAACUCUUCCAACUUGCAACACCAGGAGACACCAAGCUUCAAGAUUCUUGAAGGAAGCAUUGGGAUGGAUUCAAGCAAUUUGCAGAACUGAAUACUGAGCUCUUUUAGAUGGAUUAAAUGAGAAAGUUGAGGUAAUGUGCAAUUUUGACAGGUGACUUCCAAAACUGAUAAGCUGACAGGAAGAUCACAAUUAGAUAAAUCAAGGUGUUGUUGAGAAGACGGGCUAGUGACGCUAUCCAGGCAUUCAAUAACCACCUCGUGCAUGGUCCAGAUAUCUUCAAUAUAAGAAAGCUUCCCCAAUCGAAGGAUCUUCAAUGAAGACAACCCAUUUAUAGGGAUUUCCCCUCCCAAACUUUUGCAAGCUAAGGCAUCUAAUUCUUCAAGAUUGCCCAACUUGCUAAUAGUACUGGGUAAACUACUCAAUUUUGUACACCCAACAAUAUUCAAAAUUUUCAAAAUUUUUAAGUCCCCGAUGGAUUUAGGUAAUUCCGAAAUUUUUGCACAUGUCAAAUGUAGUUCAGUCAAUAAUUCUAACUUCCCAAUUGAAUGGGGGAUAUGAUUUAAACGAUAAUUAUAAUCCCAAUACCAAUGAGUCUCCAAAUCAUCAUCUUCUUUAGGUGGAAGACACUCAUCGCCUAAUAAUAGGCAUUGUAAUUUCACAAGGGAUCCAAUACUCCCUGGAAAUCCUUCAAAAUUGGAGCAAAAUCUCGAGUCAAGGGUCAAUAAAUUUACCAGAUGGCUAAUUGAGUCAGGAAGUCCAACCAAUGAGUCGCAUGCUUGCGCACUAAGUAUCUCCAGCUUCUUCAAAGAACUUAUCCAUGGAGGAAUUUCCUUUAUACAAACUUCAUCUAUUAUAAGUUCCUUUAGUUCUUUCAAUUGACUUAUUUCUUUAGGCAGCUCUUGGAGUUGCCUACAUGUUGACAAGUUUAAAGAAACGAGGUUCCUCAAGUUACCCAAUUGUGAGGGCAACUCCCUAAGAUCCCCAUAGUCACUCAAGUUCAAGGAAACGAAGCACUUAGGGUGCGCAUGGUGAAAUUUUUGAAAUAGAAAUUGAUUUCUGGCCAGAAAUCAAUUUCUCAAUUUCUAUUCCCCGGACGAGUUUCUGAGCAAAGAAACCCGUUUGAUAACGACUCAAAAUUUCUAUUUCUGAAACAGAAAUCCGUUUGAUAACGACUGAGGACGCGAACGGACGAGGCGGGCCAAUGGAGAUGAGCGGCGAGGGCGAGGGCGAGAUGAGCGGCGACGGCGAGGAUGAACAGCUUCGGGGAGUCGCUAGGGUUUUUGGUUUUUGAGGUGAGGAGAAGGAAUGGGAAAGCUGUGGUAGUGAGGAGAGAAAAGGAGUCGACGUGUUUGCUGAAGAAGAGGGGGGUGGAUAGAAAAACAAUUUCUAUUUCUACUUCAGAAAUAGAGAAGCUAAAAUUUUAGCUUCUGAUUUCUCACCCAAAAUAAUUUCUGAAACAGAUUUCUAUUCCGGGGAACAGAGAAAUCAAUUUGCGUUACCAAACGGAUUUCUGUUCCAAACCUGUUCCGGGGAACAGAGAAAUUGAGAAAUUGAGAAACAAAAAUUUUACCAUGCGCAGCCUUAAUGGCUCCACAAAAUAAGAAUUAAGAAUGAUAAAUAGAAAGUUGUUCUUCCGACAAGGAUAUGUUAAAACUAGGUCGAUGACGUAUCCAUUAGCAACUUUCUCUGAUUCGAUUACUUUACCAUUCAGUAAUUCUCUGAGAGUUGCCAGCCCUUUUCGCUUGACCUCUUCGUCAAGUUUAUGCUCGUUGCGUCAGAACGCAUCUCCAAAGUGCCCCGUCAUGUAUUUUACAUUAUCCGUUGUCACCUUGUAAAACACAGGAUAGACUUUUUGUUUUUACUUUUCAUGCACUCCAUUAUUUGAUUGAUCUCGCGGAGGCACCAUUUGCUAGUAGCAUAAUUUUCUGAGAUAACUGGGAUUGAAACUUUAGAGCACUUGAUUGCAUUGAGAAGCGUUUCAAUUGGCUCGCCAGGGUCGAGGUUCUCAUCAUCUCUGAACAUGAAAUUUGGAAGGUGCAGGCCCACUCGUACAAGCUCAUGGUAGAGGUGAUCAACGAAGCCUUUUCGAGUAUCAAGACCUCUAAAACUCAAGAAUACGAAGUAAUUGUUUCCAAUCACAGAGGCGUACGAAGCAGAUGGCCCAGAAUUCUCUUCGGAAUCUGACAGCACAUCGAUCUCCUCUGGUGAGUUCGGAAGAGGCGAUCCGCUCCCGCGCUCAUCCGAUGGUCUUUGUCGCUUCCAAAUGGUCGAGCUCGAAGCUUCAGCAUCUGGCUUGCGUUUCCCAUCUUCCAUUGCAGCGCACGCUCUCUCUCUCUCUCUCUCUCUCUCUCUCUCUCUCUCACUCACAGAGACGCGACUAUUAUGGAUGGAUUUGAGCGGGCAAUAAUUUUUGGGCUAUCUCUAUGCUACACUUAUAGCGGGGCAGGAAAAGAGGAAGAAGGGAAAGCAGGAGGCAAGGCAUGAUUACUCGACUAUUCUGUAUAUUUUAAUCUCUCACAGUACGUUGGUCGUUUCAUGUAUUUCUUACAUUCACACGUGGAAUCUGGAGAUAACUUCAAAUUUGACUAAAAGCAACUCAGUCCUUGCCUUCUUGUGGUCCUCACUACCAUUUGGCUUGACAACCUUCCCCAUUGUUCCCAUUGGCUCUCAGGAGUCUCCAAUUUUGUCGCGGAUUGAGAAUUGCGCUCGAAUGAAUCCUCCAACUCAUGAAUUAUGUCCCGAAUUGGACGUUACACUUCACAUACGCGCCUCUUCCAAUAUUGUUAGGAUUUCGUCAAUGACCACAGUAAGGUACUUGCUAAGAAAUCAAUCGAGAGAAAUUUACAUUUUUCGUUAACUGUUCAUAUGUAAUGCAGAAUUUUAUUUGGUUAUCGCAGUAUUUGUACUCUCGUGUUAAAUGGUUAUGGAUGCAACAUACUCUUAUGGGAGUGGGAUUUUUAAUUUAGUGAAUGAACUUUCAUCACUCCUAAGCGUUCUAAAAAAAAAGAAGAUAAAAUGGGCCUUUUAUAUAAUUGACACGGAAUAAAAUUAAAUUUCUUCAACCCGCCAUCGAAUAAAAUCGGUUCCUUGCAUUAUCACAUGAAAGAUAGUGAAAGAUAUGUCAAUCAGUACUUAUUAUUUGGACAAAUUUGAGUAGCACGUUGCGGUUCUAUGUCAAUUUACAGGAUUUUUCCUUUCUUUUUCUUUUUAACAUUUGUAUUCUCUAUUUAACAGAUAAUUUAUUAUAUAAAAAAGGUAUGAUUUACCCUCACCCCUUUUAAGGAUUUUCAUCUAGAAUUUAUUAAAUGCAUCUCGAACUAUGGAUUCAAAAUCAAACUCGGGCUCCGUAUCCACUUCCAUUUUUGUUCAUGAUCUGAUUAGUUUUAAGUGGAAUUAAAACGCGAGAGAACAAAAGGAUAGAGGGGGUAAACAUCAAUUCUUCUUUUCCCCGAAACCGUACCCACGACGAAUCCCACCCCCACUGCAACGUAUUCGAGGGACCAUCCUAGUAUUUUUUAUUUUAUUAUUUUCGAUUUUCCGAAUUUUCUCUGGGCCAGAACGGAAAUUUCGGGAGCGGAACUAUGCAGUCGCAAAUCACGCAUGACUUGUGCGGCAUGAGUAAGAGUCUGACGUCAGAGUUCGUUUGGCAUUUUUAUUAACGAAAUGGUUUUUAAGGGCCAAUUUGAUAAUGUACCAAACAGUAUUUAAUUUUUUGUUGGACUAAAAAAAGAACAAAAAUUCGUUUGGUAACUUUUUAAUUCCUGAUAAUAGAUUAAAACAAAAUCAAGAAAUUGAAAAAAAAAGUUACUUCUUUAUUCCUAGGAAUAACUCCAAAAUCAAGCCAAAUCAUUUUUUUUUUCUCUUUUUCUUCCUUUAGCUGGUCACAAAAAUAUAAUGAAAUUAUAUAAUAAAUUAUUAAAAAAUUAAAGAAAGUUUGAAAAACAUAAUAAAAUUAUAACAUAAAAUUAUAUUAAAAAUAUGAUAAAUUUACAUAAUAAAAGUAUUAAAAUAUUAAAAAAUUCAAAUUCGUAAAAAAUUUAAAGGUUGUAUUAAAUGCAUUUCUAUUCCAAGUAUAUAAUUUUUUAGCAAUUAUGAAAUGCAUUCAAAUGCUCAGAAAAUCAUCUAGGGAAUAGAAUAAAAAAGAAUCAUUUAUGAGCAGAAAUUAUUAUUUAAGAAAAGAAUGGUUACCAAAUACACCCUAAGACUCCCACAUAUCGGCAUCCUUAGUUUGAACUAAGAAGUUCUAUUUGUUAUUGAAUCCUUUCGGAUGUUAAUAAUUAAAUAGUGAACACAUCAAAAGAAUGUCAUGAAGGCACCGAUCAAGCAUACUUAAUUUGGAAUGAUUUAAUAUUACUGAUGCUGCAUGACACAUGAACACUUGACGGAAAAUGUAAAUUUCCCUCGUUUGAUUGCUUAGCAAAUACUGUGAAUGCGGUCGCUGACCAAAUCCCGACAAAAUUGGGGGAGGUACGUAUACUUAUUAUGAAAUAACUACCAUGAACUGAUGCAAUUGAUGUCAUUAGAUAAAAUAAAGUGGGUAAUUGACCUGGACUUAGUCGUUGCCUCCUAGGCAUCAUCCAGUGAAUGGGAGUCAACAGACAUGAGCAGAUUUUAUUCUUAAAUAUACACCACCAAUUUCGUUAGCCCGUGCUACAGAUGGAGGAUCGUUUAUGGUUUAAAUUGUGUUAGUCUUUUUUGGCCACAAAUUUAAUAUGAUAUCCGAAAAAGGACACAGAUGAAAGAAAGAAAAGGACGUGGUAGCUAUAUUGCCGCUUCAAUUACAUUACCAUUAUAUUGGCCUAUGGACUUGUGCUAUACACAGGAAAAAGACCCUGUGAAAUAGAUUGCGUGAAAUAAUUGUUCUAGGAGUCUGGAUCAUCAUGAGAGUAAGAGAUUUUCGUCACAUUAGAAGUAAUUACAUGCCCCAUGAACUAAAAGGGAAAAAUUUUAGGUUCAAUGAAGGUGGAAAAAUGAAAGGGAAAUCUUUACAGAAGAAAGUUGAGAUAAAUAUCAAUCAAGAGAGGGCCGAGGACGCAUUGACGACUAUUCGACUCCAAAGAAGCCUGAUUGCACCACUCGAUUCGUUCUGAUAACUAUGUUGCUCCCACUACUUUGCAGCUCUUGCUCAUUUGAUUCUUGAUUGGAACAUCCUUAGUUUGGCGAUAUUCAUUCUGCUCCUGCUCUCCAUCGCAAAUUUCAGCACCAAAAUUUGCUUCACUUUCUCAGUUGAAGAACGCAACAAGUUUAGGGUUUGAAGAAGUAAAUAAAUUUAUCCCCAGUUCAUUAAUUGGUGGGCAAAUAACACACAUGGACGAUAUAUUUCAGUACUAUUGUUGCUGAUUCACUUUAUCGGCAAGCCAUGUCCAACAAUUUAUAAUAAAAUAAUAUUACGUCGGAUUUUUCAGCUACACGAAUUGCCAACUAAAGCAAUCAAUCUUUCAUGUGAAUGAUAAUCAAGUAAUUGAGAAAAUAAUUACGUUAUUAAAGUGAGCAUCAUAAGAAAAUUAAGAUAAUCAUGGUAUUAUUAUUUCAAUUUGCAAUUGAAGGUAUCGAGCAUUUACAACUUCAAAGGAAUUUUUUUGACAAAAAGGAGCAACUUCUUUUUCUUUUUUCUUUUAUUCCAUGAUCAAUCGACCUAUAAAGUAUAAACAGGUGAGGAGACGCAUCUCGUAAUCUCGCGGACUCGGAUUGCUUUUUGCGGGCUCCUAGUUUUUCCUCGAAAUUUCCUUACUAUUGUUUUUUUCUUCCUUUUUCUUUUUUUGAACUUCUAUGGCUUUCCCUGACAUUGACAAGGGACGAUGCAAGUCCUUAGUGCGUUCCCAAUCGCUCGAUAUAUGCAUUAUGUACAUCGGCGACAAUGACAUCCCACCGAUCUGAUUUUCGGGUGGCCUUAUCGACAUCUUCGUGAAGAAUCCACCUACUUGAGUUUUAAAAAUAAUAAUAAUAAAUUUUGAACAAGAAAAGAAAACAGAAAAAGGGAGGAUGCAUGUACAAAUAUUAUUGAUUGAUAAUCUUCAGUGGAGCAAGCGACAAAAUUACAUAUCAUAAACAAAAUUGAUCUAGCUGUACAGAAGUAAGUGCGUGCCGAUAAUUGGCUAAUGUGACGCCGAUAAUACCGGUGAUUAUGUCACGCGUAAGAUCGACGACAGGCCAUUUGUUUAGCCUUGGUUCGAGAGUCACCUCUUGGUGCGUCAAAAGACAGCCGAUUGUGUCGUUGUCGACAACUGAAGCCGAGCAUCGAGCUGUAUCCGUGGCAGCUCAAAAGCACCCCUGGUUAGCGCAAUUGCUGAAGGAUUUGCACUAGAAAAUUAAUGAGUGCCUCGUGAGACUAUACAAUGACGAUCGAUUGGCGAUUCGACUAAUAGAGAACUGAGUGAUUCAUAUGAGAACGAAGUACAUGGAAGUCCACUGUCACUUUGUGGAUGAGAAAGUAGUAAGUGGAGAGAUUGAAAUGAAGUUCACCAAAACAAAUUAACAAGUUGACGAUAAUUUCAUGGAGGGACAUAUCAAGAUCCAAGCUGGCAGAAUUUCAAAAUAGUUAGGCAUCACAAACAAGCUGCAUUAGAAAUCAAAGAUUGAUACUCGCGCUGGUGUCACCUGACUUGUAAUAGUACCGAACCGACAUAGUGGGAGGCACGAAAUGAACUUUUCAUCGGCCAAAAUAGAGAGUAGAAAAAGCAUGGUAUCAAAUAGUAUAAGCAGCUUUUGACAGAUUUUGAAACAGGAUCCAUUUAUAGUUGCUGUUUCAAAGCUUCAUUCGCUAUGAGUUAAGUCAAUUUUGGAAAGUCCCAGUUACUCCAAUGUGAAUAUCUGGAUCCCGUAGUGAUUUGCGCGAAGCAGUGUGUUCUGCCAAUCUUUGCCUUGCUCUACUAAUAACCGCUACCUGCAAAAGGCGUCCUUCCAAGGUCCCUAGGCAACGGAAAUGGAAUGGGAUUCGACGAGCAUGUUAGCUGUUUGAUUAAGAGAGGAAGCUGUGCACUUUUAGAUGCAUUCUAUAAGCUACUUGCUUAGGUGGUCCAGUUAGGAACAUUCCGGGAAAACUACAAUCCUUCGUUAAGAAUAAGUUCCUUCAAAGUCUCAAGCACUAGAGAAAAAUUAUCAUUCAUAAAAAGUUACUGAUGAUGAGAGCCUAGAUGACUGGCACUCAUUCUCAUAUACAAAUGUUAUUCUACUAGCUAUAGAAAGAUCCCUCAUUAAUACGAGCCCAUUGACAAAAACCAUGCUUUCAUUGGUAAAAUUACUAAACAUUAGUAUCCCCAAAGGUAUGGGCAUUUGAGGAAAAUCACUAUCUUACACGUACUUUAUUUAAAUGAUAAUCAUCCAAAGUUAUGCCUUUCAAGGGUAAAAUUGAAAUGAUUCUUUUAUGGCUGUCUUCCAAUCUUUUAUGUAUGUCAUUCACACGUUAAAUCUGGUCUGAUCUUAUUUUAAUGUACUCGGAAAAGAAGGAAAUGAAUUUUCUCAGUUCGUUUAGACAAAAGGCAAAAUUAGGUGGGUUUCAUGCACUAUAUUCAAAAUUAACGCAACUUGGUCGGCAAGUUGGCAAGAAAUUUUAAAGUUGGUUCUCAUCAUAUUUUAAUAACGAUGAUGAAGACAAACUGCAGAGUUGGCAAGAAAAGGACCUGCGCAGCGACAUCAAAUUGACUUUAAUCUGCUUUUUAUUCCGCUAAAGUUGCAUCAAAUUGACUUUAAUCUACUUUUAUCCGCUAAAGUUACAUCAAAUUGACGUCCAUUAAUAUUUUAUCCAGCUAAAGUUACAAGUUUCAUCAAAUCGACACCUAUUAAUUUUUUUAUUCCAAAGAGCAGGUACUAAAAGUUACGAGUGACCCGUUGAAGUCUUUGUUUGAUGUUUUCUUUUGAGCAAACUUCCAGCUGUCGUUCAGUGGCCAUUAAAUAAUUACCAAAAGAAAGAACUGUAUCUUCCUGGAUUUUUUUCUUUUUUGGUAAAUUGGGAUUUCGAAUCUUCAUCAUUUGUGUUUUUGUUGACUGAUUUGAUCAGUCACAAUUGUAUCUUUGAAAUCUAGGUGAGCACUCAGCACAAGCGGUAGCAGCUAGGGGUUUGCAUGGUCCGGUAGGCAGUUUCCGACCUAGAAUCGGGAACCUCCCGCUAAGGAACAGUUCCAAAAAAUUGGAAUCGAAAAUCGCCCGCUAGUUAUAUGAAUCCAUCCGAGAACCGGACCGCCGAUCUGAUUUGGUUUCCAAGUGGAUCCAUGGAACCGGCCUCACCAACAAUAAUAUCAUUUUCCAAAUCCUGCCGAGAGUACUUUUCAUAUCGAGUUAUAUUUUUUUUUAACUCGAACCGACUUAAUUAAAGGUACCAUUUUUCUUUAUUUUAUUGGAAAACACUACCAAAUAAGAGAAAUAGGCUUUUUCCUAUUUUUGAAUCAUUUCAGUCGAAAUCUAAAAUAUUUUUUAAGUUCAAAGUUUUGGAUAAUUGUCAUUUGUAAAUAGUAUUUUCCUUUAUCCUCUAACAAUGUUCAAUCUCUUACAACAUUUGCUUUACUGAAUUAUUUUGGUAGAAACAAUUUCACCGGUACUCCACAUAUUCUUAAAUACACUGUCCUAUGUGCAUCCUGAAAAUAUCCUUUGAAUGAGCCAUUUAUUGAGUUGCUGAAAGGCAGCUUAUACACUUUACUAAAUUUGUCACGCCCCGAUCCUCGGGGACGCGCUCAUCCUUCUCCUGAGUCGAUUAUUAAAGUGCGAUAUCCCAAGACUAAUUAUCGCCGACCCUUUUUUUUUAUUACGCAUACGGAAGCAAUUAUAAAUCCCCAGACAAUAAAACAAUGGGAUAGAAAAGCAGGCCAUUUUUUUCAUAUUGAAAUUCACAACCACACUUUUAUUCACAGCACAACUUAUAGUAUAUUUACAAUACUAUUUACAGCAUAAAAGUCUCACACCUAUCUACACUAAGAUAGGGUUCACAAAGGGAUGGGAUCUCAAUCCACAUCUGGGUUGUACUCAAGAUCCCUCUCUGGAUCAUUUUCUACUUCAAAAUACUUUCUCCCCUUCAGGUUCUUCCUCCUCAGCUUUUCCUCAGGGUCCUAAAAUGGUUAUUCAAUAACCAAUGAGACCACGUAUCAGCGAGUCUUACCCCUAAGACCCGAUUAGUAAACUAAUACGCCAAACGGUUGCCUAAGCACAACACAAGUUAGAAGACUUACCUUGGCCUCAGUUCCAACCUGCAAUUCAAGGUUAAACACAGAUAUUCAAGUAAUUCAUGACAUCCGAUCAAGCACUGGCCAAUCGACUAAGUCGAUUACAUGUCAACCAGACCCUCUCUAGGUCAUUCCCACUCAUACCACGAUUUCCCAGUGGUGUACUCAUUCAUCAAAUCACAUGUGUUUCUCGGGCGUCGUUUUCGCCAAUGACAUACUGAUCACCGACACCGUGCAUUCUUUAAGGCGCCGUUUUCACCAGUGAUAUCCUCGAUCACCGAACCACGUGUCCUUUCUAGGGUGCUGUUUUCGCCAAGGUGACAUCGGCUAUAGACAACAUCGUGAGUUCUUUAAGGCGUCGUUUUCACCAGUGAUAUUUCCUUAAUCACCGAACCACGUUUGUCCAUAAGUCAUUUACGUGCGUUCUUUAAGGCGCCGUUUUUGCCAGUGAUACUUCCAAUCACCGAACCACGUAUAUCCAAUAAUAUCGUACCUGAUUGGUCUCAACCAAUAAUGUUCUCAGUUAGCUCUCACUAUUCUCUCUACUAUAUAGCCCAUCAACGUACUGGCGCUAUAUAUCCAUGCUCGGCCAUUACCAAUCAAAUACUCAAUAACAAACAAUUUGGGACAAUUCCUCAAAUUUCACAAUUUAAAUCAAUUCCAUAAAAAUUGAAGCUCAAUUAAAUAAACGGACUGCACCACGACAAUCGGCACGAAAUUCCGGUCACCGGCCAUCCCGGUUGAAUUUUCGGAAAAAUAAUUAAUUAAAUAAUUAAUUUCGAAAAAUAAAUAAAUAAAUAUUAAAAAUCUAAUUUAGGCUCGUAAUGCCUGAUUGGAGCCCGAAACCGGUCGGGAAAAAUCCUGAGAUACAUUCAAUAAAUAAUAGAGCAUUUCUACUCCCUAAUGGCUAUAGCUAACCACCUAACAUGCAUCCUCAAGUUACUAAUUUAAUUGUUCUAAUCUAAUCUAACCACCUAAUUGCAAUUAAUUAAAUCUAACCAACCCUAAGAAUAAUUAGCAAACUAAUAAAGCAUUAGUGAGUAAAACUCACUUGAUCAAAAGCGGGGAUCGAAUCACCGCAACGGCGACGCGACGGGGGCCGAAAUCGGACUUUCGACGACACCGGCGGACUUGAACCGGGCCUUAGGCUUGGCCCAACAAAUCUCAGCCCAAAACUAGGCUUGAAGACUACAAUUGCUGAAAAUGGGCUUCAAUUUGAUUUACUGGAAUUGGGCCCACUGUUGAGCUUUAAUUGGUGCGGUCUUGGAAUUGGGCUGCAGCUGGUGAAUUUCGACUGGGCUUGAAGACAACUGGGCUGCACGUUGAACUGGAGUGGCUGAAUUGGACUGGACUGGGCUACAACAAAAAGGCCCGAAUUGUUGAUGAAGAUGGGCCCACAACGCUGGACUCCGGUGGGCUUCGCACGGUCAGAUGAAGGCUGUUCAAUUUCACACUCGCAGCUUCGUGUAGUUGAUGGCGAAGACACGCGAACGCUGGUCAACGAAGGCUUCACCCGGUGGAAAUUCGACUGAGAUGGGGGCGUGCCGGCGUGGACGAUGGAGGAAAAACAGCGUCGAAGAAGCGGUGCCGUUGAUCUUCAAGCGUUGCCGCUCUUCAAGCUUCGCUGGCGGACGUGUGGAGUGGAGCUGAGGGACGCGCGGAGGAAAGCUGCAGUGUUCUAUCGCUGCUGAGUGGGUAAUCGGGCUGUGCGGACGUGGCCGAAGCUGCCGGAAAUCACGACUUCGCUGGCGUGUGGCUUCUUCGGUGGUGUUGCUCGGUCAACAAGUGCUUCGCUCGGUGGAGAAUUUGACCGAGAUGACGUGUGGAGAAGCACCUGGCUUCUCUGGACGUCGUGGCCGUGCUGACAAAAGGGCGUGGAAGAUGGAGCAGCUUCGGUUGCUGCCUCGGCGUCUUCAACUCGAUUGCCGACUGGUACAGCGAAGUGGAAGAUGGAUGGAGUUGAGGACUUCGGUGGGAUCUUGGCGUCGAAGCCAGUCAAUUCUUUUUGUUGAAAUGGACUGUUCGUGUGGCAGAGGGAUGAACGAAAAUGGAGAAACACUUUGGUGGAAUUCGUAGGCUUCCUCGGUGAGAGAGAGAGAGAGUUCACGAAUAUGGAUAGGAACGGAGGAGAAGGCAGAAGCGGUGAUGAUGGAGACAGCGACGGGAGGGACCCAAAAUCACAAACCUAAGCCAUUCCCUUAAUUGCUUGUCCCCCUCCUUUUUCUUUAUCCUUAUCUUGGUUGGUCUCUAAUACUUUCUUGUAAAUAUCUUUAUAAACCAAUCAAAUUUGAAGCCUAAAAUUGCUGCCACUUUCCAAUCCGAAUUUCACAUUUUGAUCUUAAACUUCAUCACUCAAUUUCCCAAAUUCGAUGUCAAAUUUUGGUGUAGAAAAAUCCCAAAUGAUUUUCUAUAAAUCCCUGACACACAACGGCUCAGUCUAGAAGUCCAAUUUUCUAUCAAUUUAGCCAAUUUGAACUUCUGCCAAAUUUUCGCAACGUCCGAACCCAAUUUCUGUAAAAUUUCCCGAAUCUCCGAAAAAUCUUCUGAGACUGACUCGAUGCUCCUAAAAUUUAUUGUGACAUGGCCAAAACUUCAAUUUUUGAAAUCGGAUUCGAAUUGGUGGUUAAUUUUCAUUCGGCGCGUUUUUAGCGUGACCUAAACUAUCGGGUAGUUUUCAGAACUUUUUAAGGCAAAUGACCCGUGGUCGAUUUUCUUCGAGCCACUAUGAACCCACUCGACUCAAUGGUGACUCUUGAUUGUCGUGAAAAUCUCGAGAAUUCAAUUACGGACACAGGGUACCAAAACAAUAAGAAAAUCAGUCUAGUGUCGGCCGACGAGAAUUUUCUAAUUCAGUGGUGUCACCCCCGAUUAGUCACAUAUCUCUAUCGAUCCAGUCUAUCUCUGAUUUCAAAUCGAUUUUUAACUGUGCCGUAGUGACCUCUAAAGAUAGACAUGAUCAAGAAGCCGAUUCCUGAUCGAGUUCUCAAGUCUAUUGCCUUAAAAUUCCUUAAUCAUUUCCCCAGAUAGUCUAGUUAUCUCGAGAGUGAUUGGCUCUGAGAAUAACCCUAUAGGCGCGUUAAUGAAAUGCCCGAUUUAUUCAAUAGAAGACGGGGUUAAAGAAUCUGGAUGUCACAAAAUUCUUAUAAAAACAUGGAAACCAUGAGAGGAGAUGGAGUCCUAAAAUUUAGAUUUGCUAAUUAGUAAUUUUGAAAUUUAUUUUAAUAUUAAAAAUUAAUAUAUUAUUAUAAUAUAAUCGGUCCAGUCCGAGUGGAUGGAUUUGCCUAUGGAACUGGAAACCGGAACAGUACCCAUCGGUUUCCAUUAAUUGGAACCGAGAACUGGACCAGUUCCCUCAAGAACCACGGGUUCCAAGCGGUUCCGGUUUGGUUCCGAGCAGUCCGAGCGGGUCCCGAUUAUUUUGCACACCCUUAAUAGCAACAUCAUUUCCUUUUUGAAAUCUCUCCUCUCGCAAACCUCGCCUUAAAUUCUUCAAUUCAAUAUCUUUUUUAUGUUGUGAAAUAGUACCUCAAAUUGAUUAAGAAAAUAAAGUAUUGCUCUGAUUGAUUGAUGAAGUGACUAUUAUGUCUAAUUAUAUAUAACUUAGUAAUUUAUGUUUGGGAGUAAGUUAAGUUAGGUGAACCCCACAUUUAGUCAAAACAAUAGUAGAAUAUAAGGGUCCAAAGAUUUUCUUGAAAAUAAUGGAUGCAUAUGGCGUAUAAAAAAGGGACAAUUUCACCGUUGGUCACCAAUAUUCUUGAUGAAAGUUCAAUUUGAUGGCUGAAACUUUAAUUUUGUUUAAUUUCGCUAUUUAUUCUUUGAAUUAGAUCAAUUUAAUUCCUCUAAUCAACUUAGUCAUGUUGGCCCCUAAUGUAAUAAUUCAUCUCCAUCGUGAGACCUGCCAUCGCUAGCCUGAUUGGGUUGUCUAGAGCCACAUCAGCAAAAUCUAGAAACCAAAUGGGGAGAGAAUUGGGGGAGGGAGAGACAAGUAGGCGAUGGGAGAUGGGCAAUGGUGCUCGAUUCCUAAUUUUAAAGCAAUAUAGAUAUUAGAGUAAGUUGAUCUCAAAAUUUUUCGAGUAUGUGUGUGAAGAAGUGAGUUAAUUACUUUUAGUUAAAAUAAAGUGAUAAAGUUUGAAAGAAGAAAAUAAAAUCUUAAUGGAUUUGUUGAUCCAUAAGUUUAUGGCAGGUAAUAUGGUACAAGUACAUGAAUUUCUUUCAAGUCACUUGAUGUCUCGGGUAUAUGCUCAUGUUGACUUCCAUUAAUAUUUUAUCAAGCUGAAGUUACAAGUUUCAUCAAAUUGACACAUCAAAUUUUUUUAUUCCAGAGAGUAGGUGGUGAAGUUACGUACGACCGACUGGGGUCUUUGUUUAAUGUUUUCUUUUGGACAUUGCAGUAAAGUAGGGCUAUAAUCUCUAGGACCAGCAGUAGAAUAAAGGUUCUGAAAAAAACAGUUGGUCAUGUCUUCUUCUUCAAUAGAAGCCUUUGUUUAAUGCUUUCUUUUGGGCUAACUUCCAAGCUGUCACUCGGUGGCGAUUAAAUCAAUACGAGGAGAAAGAACAGUAUUUCCCCAAGAUUUCGAAUCGUUAUUAAUUGUGUUUUUAUUGACUAAUUCGAUCAAUCACAUUUGUAUCCUGAAAACCCGGGUAGCACUUAGCAUGGUUAUUUUCCUUUUUGACAUCUCUCCUCCUUUCGCAUAAUCUCACUUGGAAAUCUUCAAUUUAAUAUAUCUCUCCCUCCUGAAAUAGUAUCUCAAUUCGAUAUAAAGAAAAUACAGUAUUGCUUUGACUGAUUUUUGAAGUAUAACCUUGAUAUAAUUAACUGUCGAAGAACGAAGUGACUAUUAUGUCUAAUUAGAUCUACUUAGUAAUUUAUGUUUGGGAGCAAGUUGAAUUAGGUGAACUAGGCAUUUAGUCAAAACAAGAGUAAAAUAGAAGCGUUUAAAUAUAUUCUUAGAAACAGACCAAUAUAUAUAUUCAUAGGAAAAAAAAUUCUUAAAAAUAAUGGAUACAUAUGACGUAUAACAAGGGGGCAAUUUUAAAGUUGGUUCCCAGUACUCUUCAAUCUGAUUGCUAAAGUUUAAUUUUGUUUGACUUGGCUUUUUUUUUUUUUUUUUUUUUUGGAAAAGCGAUUUACUUCAUUCAAUAAAGUUCAAAGGAUAACAUAAGUUAUGGGUUUUUGCACCUAAAAGAUCCCAUAGAGGUGAUGAUGGCACUAUAAGCCAAUUGUGAGGAAGAGCCUUCUUGCUAUGGGUUUUGGCGAGCCAAUUUGCAACUUCGUUUGAUUUCCUUGGGGCGGAUGCCGGUUCCACCAAACUGGAUCAGGCGAGCAUCUCUUUACAUUCUUCAAUAAUGGGUCUCAGCUCCCAUGGGCUUGGGUUUUGGCCCACUAUCAUCUUCACAAGUGAUAAAAUGGAGAACUUACGCAAGCGAAAAAUAGUACCGGAUCCUUACCGCUCACUGUGCAAAGACUGGGCGGAAUCCACAGGGCAUCUCCUUCUCUCGUCCUUCGACAAGAGACAUAUGGGCUUAACCAUCCCUAAACAUUCAGGUUUCUUUCCAAGGGUUAAGCAGAAUAGAGAUAGAGCUAACGCAAUUCCUCAAAAGCACAGAAAACCCACCUUCUCUGGCGCUUGUAGUAGCCAUCUCUUGGCUCAUUGUAACAACUUCGUCUUUCGAAAGAAACCCCCCGACCCAGCUCAGCCAUCUCUUGGCUCAUUGUAACAACUUCGUCUUUCGAAAGAAACCCCCCGACCCAGCUCAAGCACUACAAAGAGCUCUAACUUCUCUCGGCAAUUGCAGGAGAGGGAAUUCAAAGCAAAAUAUCGGACCUUGACGCUUCCACCUCUUCUGAGAACUGGACACCCCCCAAAGGUCGGAUCUUUAGAGGUCAACAUUGAUGAAUCCCUUCGUCGAAAGCUCCGUGAAAGGAGCAAUCGCCUGGGUCAUUCGAAACUCAGAAGGGGACGCUUGUGGACGGCUUCGCAAGAGGAGGAAAUGCCGAUGAAGUAGGCGAUGCUGAUGAAGUAGGCGAUACAUCUCGACAAUGAAUAGCGUGACCUGCUUUUAUUUACCUUUCAAAGGACAUGCGAGUCAUUCCGACAUCGUGGCCAGAGAGCACUCGAUAGGUCGGAGCGUUAUUUUCACGAACCGAUUGUUUCCCUGCUGCAGUGGUGCAAUGAACGAUAUUCCAACAAAGUCGCAUCGCUGAACGUCUACUAGAAUUUAGACGCCUUGAUUUCUGGAGCUCUGUGAUUUUCAAAAGUUCAUCCGAAAUUGACCCCCCAUCAUAUUCCGUAAAACCUCCGAAAUUCGACGGGUGUGGACACAAUUUGUUGAGACCUUGCAGUUGAUCCCUCAAUUUAGCUCCUAAGCACAUAUUUGACUUUCUCCAUGCCCUGAACAUCAUGAAGCUUCCAACACCCUCUAAUGCCCAAAUGUAGGAGGUUAUGGAAAAGCAAGAGGUGCAGUAAUAUUUCAAUGGACUUGCACCCCUGGAUACUCAAAAUUCUCAAUUUUCUCAACCUCUCAAGGCAUUUAAUUUCAACUAUAUUUUUGCAUUCAGUGACUAGUAAUUCCACCAUAAGUGUUAAUUGCAAAAUGUUGAGUCUUAUGAGGAACUGGCAGGAAUCAAUACGUAGCAUAUCCAAAUUUUUCAAUCUACCAAGGCAUUGAAUUUGAAAAUACAUCAUCAUUCAUGAAUGAAGCAUCUCUCCCUUUAAGUUGGGUGUCUACCCCCACAAUCUCUUUUGGCUGUUUUUUGCUUUGAUGCUCAUCUAGGUUGUUCUUCUAUUUUAUGUACAUGAAAUGAAAUGACAUGUUUGAGUGGCCCAAAAAAAAAAGGGGCAUUGGAAAGGCCUGAAAUAAAAGUUGAGAACGCUUCACAAAUAAAGAGAAAAAGCGGAGAGGCAGCUUCUCCGUUGAGUGCGUGAUCAUAUGAGCUGGUUUGCUCUAUACUUGUUUUUAUGUGUCAUGCAAGAAAAUAAAUUGUUUGCUCUAUACUUGUUUUUAUGUGUCAUGCAAGAAAAUAAAUUGUAAUAGUAAGUGAGAGAUUUUACUAUUGAAUGUGUGUAAUAAUCGUGUGACAAUUAUUUUGUUUGUGUGUUAUAUUUGUACCUCAUUUUCAUACAUGUAUGUCUCGAGUUGUCUAUUAUAACUUUCUCACAUUACCACCACCAUACAUCCAUGCCCAACAAAAUUGUAUGAAAAAUGAUAUCUACUUUUAGAAAGAAUUUCACUCCAAGUUCACCUCAAGACGAUUUUCCAAUGAAAAUGGUAUCUACUUUUGUUCCAAACCCGAUUCACCAUUAGAACCGACAAAUAUAAUUGGAGAAGUUUAUCAUUGUUAAGAAAUUGAUUUUCCUUUUCUAUUGACUACUUUUGAUAUAUCCUAGGUUAAUCAUCUUGACUUCCAACUUUUUGGUAAUAUGUUAUGAUCUUUUCGAGGCAUAUUUUUGCCAAAAAUAAAGAACUGAGAUGACUGGACAUUCAAGAUCCAACUAUGCGAUCCUUUGAUGACACAAAUCAUUCUCAAUAAUCUUGGCUUUCUCACAUCUUUAAUCAGCCUAAUACUUGACUUGGAGGAAUCAUCACUUUCUCUAGGACCCCUUUCUUCAAAUCAAUUUUGAUGUCCUAGGCAUAAUUUUUAUGAUUGGUAGUGAGUAUUUUUUAUCUGAUUCCAAAAGUUAAAAUACUCCGAUUCCAUGUUAUGUUAGGAAUUUCACAUAUUAUACCGUUUGACUGUGUUAAUGAUAGAAAUGAUCAAAUGUCUUCCUUAGAAUUGUAUGCAAUCACUUGUAUGGGCAGUUAAACUGUUUCUUUUUCACCGAUUUCGAGAAAGGACGCGUUCAUUGUUGCAAUUACAAAGAUUCAUUGUCCAUGUUUUUAAGUCAUUUCUAGAAAAUGUCAAUUCUACCACCGACAGCGUUCAUAUUUUGAAGCGUAAUUCUCGAUGUAGCGUGCUCUGCUAAUCUUUGCCUCCCCUGUAAUUCUCAAUAGAAAUACAACUCUUUGUGUAUUUGUUCCUUUAUGUAACCUAAGAAAUCUCUUUUUGUUUCAUUAAAAAAAAAUAGCCACUCGAAUUAAAACGAAAACUAACAAAUAAAAGGAUAACUAUCAAAAACUCUCUUUCGUAAAGAACAUGGUUAACUCACAAUUGUGGAACUAUACAACUGAAACUAUCCAAUUCACCCAAAACAUGAUUAUUAAUCACAAUAAUUAUAAUAAUUACCAGAUGCAACAUUUUUUCUUACUCAAAUGAAUAAUUUUGCAGAGCAAAGACUGUAGCAGAAAAUGUGAAUCCGAGUUAUGCUCAAAUAUCUAGUGAUGCUUGCUCUUCUCUAUUAAAAAAAAAAAAUCAUUUUUUUGGGGCAUGAUGCGAUGAAGGAUUUGUCGAUUAAAUUGGAGCUUCUUCUUUUUUCGUGGUUGAUUAAUUAGUAUUGAACAUAAAAAAGAACUCAUUGAAAAUGACACAGUGCCUCCAUUUCUGAGAUAUGGCAAGUAUUGUGGGCUCCUGUAGGAGAGGCCCUACAACGACCUUGACGCUUGUUGCGUGAAGCACGACACUGAAUUCAAGCCAAAAACAGUGAGUCUCGGCAUCGAUUCCUUCAACUUUUCUUCGUUGAAUCGAUUGAUAUAACUAGUCGUUGGCCCGCGUGUUUGCAUGGAUGUAUUUUAAGAGGACGAUUGUGGAAGCCAUUUUCGUUGGUGAACAAUAGCUUUACUCGUCUAUAUAUGCAUGGAUUCACACUCCUAAAAAAGCAUAUUACAGAGUGGAGAUAGAGAAAAUGGGGUAAGGGACUAAUUGGUCAAAAGAAAGAAGAGACGUGAGUAAGAUUAAUGUGCCUACGAGGACUUUGCUCUUCCACAAUGUCAUUAAACUAUAUCUUCAUUCAUGAGCCAACUUUAAUCGCUAUUCUGAGGUCUGGGGGAGGAGAUUGUGAGGGAGUAAAUGCUCCUGUGAGGGCAAUGACAUCAACAUUUGCUUUUUAUUACAAAAAGCGCACGUCUAGAUUUUCUCUUUCUCAUGGACUGGUCGGGGACAAUAACUUCAACUAAUACUCUGGCUCGUCAAAUGUGCUAAGUGAUGACAAUGAAAUCAUAUCGCGGGAUUUCUCAAUUUGACCUUUCAAAUGUGCUAAGUGAUGACAAUGAAAUCAUAUCGCGGGAUUUCUCAAUUUGACCUUUCAUUCAUAGAGCAGGUAGUGUCAUCCUCAUAUAAAUAUUGGAAUUGUGACGCGCGGGGUGUUGUGCUGAUGACUAUUUGAGCCAGAAGUGCAGCCAAAACUUACUGAACUGCAUGACCAACUUCAAGAACUCCAGAGGGAGAACGUUUAAAGGAAGCAAAUGCGAAGUUGAGGAUGUCGACGUCCUGUCCAUUGUCAUGGAAGCUGCGUUGCUUGCCGGGAGAUACCUCCACAAGCCCUGAAUCUCUCUGUCCACGUUCCACGGAUAUAUCAACUCUGAUCCCUUCGCUCACUUCGUGAUCAUCCCUUUCUUUGAUUUUUUUUUCCCUUCCGGUCACCACCAAAUGAAGAACGAACAGAAGGAUGCAACUUCGAUACGUAAAGGCAUGAUGAAAAAUAAGAGAGCGCAACAUGAUUCCUACCAGUUUUUCCACCGUGCAGUAUGCAACUUUUGACAGGAUCAAAGCCAUAAAUCCACCAUCAGAUUGAGAAAUCUAUGUAUUAGCAUCUCAAUUGACAGAGGGCAGAAUCCAUGGAAAUUCAACAUCUCAACAUAAGUGUCUUGGAUCCGAGAAAAGUAAAAUUCUUACAAUGGUGCCUCCAGUGACUUAUCAAUCCAUGACAAAAUAACUGGACAUAAGCUGCUAAAAAUGCUAUCACGGCCACAUAGACAUGAGUAGUUGCCAGGAUCAAUCAAUUGCUAAAAGUGUUAUUUGACAUCAGCUGAAUAAAAGGUUUCAAUAGGGGUUACAUACAUUGAGUCUACCUCCAACUAAUACUUUAAGCCUUUGGUUGGACCUUUUGCGAACGAUGAAUGAAGUUUUGUUUUAUUAUGCAUGAAUGAAUGAAAAAAUCACAUAAUAAACAUCUGGUUCUCUAGGAAACCAACUUUAAUAGAGCAUGGAAAAAAGUAAUAAUCUGUUUGCAUAAGAACAGAUUCAUGUCAAGGAUGAAGAGUCUUACUUUGUGACUGAUGACGUAUAAUGAUAUGCAAUCUACUUCAAAGGCAUUCUUAUCUAUUUUCAUUCCCACCAGGAUCACAAGCCAGAUGAUGCUGAAGCAUCACAUUCAAGUGGUCAACCAACUUCCCCAAGAUUCGUUGAAAGAAGACAGAAAACAAUAAGACAUCGACAUGAAAAGCCCCAUGCCAGACUGAAAAUACUAAUGUGAGAUGGUUACUCUCAACUGAAUAUGAUAAUAAAAGAACGUGAUUUCUCUCGUCAGGAUUCAAAGACACGCAUCAAACUACUGUGCAAGUGAUAAUAAAAGAACAAGACAACUAUCUUCCAAGUCAAUUUGCCCUCCUAAUAUUGCCAGUGAGCUAUUCCUAUGUCAAGAUUAUAGUUUUAGUAGGAAGUCCUCGCUCCUGAUGCAGUACCAAUUAAACACUCCACAGAAUUAAAAAUCACAUGCGCAGCUCCUCCCACUUCAUUUCAGAGCCAUAAACAGCUGGGUAGUACCCGAGCUCUGAAGAUUUUGUGUCCCCACCAUCAGCCUAGCCAAAAAUGGUGCACAUUUCUUACUGAAACCAAUUCCAUACAGUGGCAGCUGUAACAAAACAUUUUGAUUUGAGCUGUAGUUCAAGAAAAGAUGGCAUUUAGAGAUCUAGAUCAGCUCUCAAACAUUAAAAGACUAAAGCAAAUCACCUUUCUAGCCACCCAUUGAUUACUAGUCAUGUUUAUCCCAAAAACAUGAAAGCAAUAUGGUUGAUUUAAGGACUUCCUGCAUACUUCUAGUUUGGAUCUCACACUAUUAUCCACAAUACAGUGGAAAUCCUCUGUUCUUCUAAAGCCUCUAGGGCAUAGACAUCGUCAUCACCAAACAAUGACCAAACUGAAGUAAUAGAUUGCGAAUGAUGUUAAGAUACGAAUUUGCAAGAUGAUUUAUAAAGGCAUGAAGCAAAACAAGGAAAGAGUGGCAACAUGAUUUGUACUGGGUUUCCACCAUUGAUGAUAAUACUUUCAACCUGAUCAAGGCCAUAUAUCUGCCUUCAGAGAGAGCAGCCUUCAUAUUGGCAUAUUAAGCGACGAACAAAGUUUGAUACAGAUCCAUGGAGAUUCAUCAUCUUGACAUUAGUACCCUGGCUUUGAGAAAAUGCCAAACACAUCUAUGGCACCUUCACUACCCACUUCCAUGACCUAAUAACGAAUUAACAAAAUGCAAUCAAGAUCACAUAUGCAUGAGCAGUUUCCAGAAUCCAUCAGAUAGUGAAUUUUUCUACUUCAUAGAAGUUGGAUAGAAGUAUUACUUUAUUUACACAAGCGCAGAUCGAUACCACGUCAAGAAUGAAGAAUCUCGUGCUAUUUGACUAAGACUUCAAAUAUCCUUUUGGAGGCAAUCUAAUCUUUUUAUUUCAUUUCAUGAUCACAAGCCAUAUAACAUAGAAGCAUUACACUUACUUACUUUGCUCAAACAACUUCCUCCAGUUGCUGGAAUUAAGACAGGAAAAUAAUAUCUUGUCAAAGAAAAGCCCCGUCCAAACUGAAAAUACUAAUGGAAGCAGGUAAUCUCCACAGAAAAACGGCACCAUACCUGCCAUAUUUUUUGUUUAGUAGGAGAUGUUAGCGAUCUCCAGAAUCAGAUCUUUUUCUUUCUCUCUUAUCUUCAUUUUCUUUCUACAUGAGCUUUCAGUUUAAGAGGGAGCCAAGCGUCUCUUUUUUCUCCCCUUAAGCCAACCACCACUUCCNNNNNNNNNNNNNNNNNNNNNNNNNNNNNNNNNNNNNNNNNNNNNNNNNNNNNNNNNNNNNNNNNNNNNNNNNNNNNNNNNNNNNNNNNNNNNNNNNNNNUUAGUUGACUUUUCAACUUCUCUUUGUUUCUUUUUUCUUUUUACUGGUCAAAUCCCCAAGUAUCACAGUAACUUCGUCACCAUAAGUCAAUUACAACAUACUGCACCAAACUACUAGGGAUAAGAAUUAACACCAAAUCAGUAACUCCUCUACCAACCGGUGUGCUUCAACUCUUAAACUUGCAGAUGAACACCCCAAACUACCCUUUUAUGUAUUAAUGUAAAAAUAUAGUACACUUGUUCAACAAAAGCAGAUUUGAACAGUGAGAUAUAAUUAUCUGCAACAAUCAAAUUGGACAAAACAAAUGUUGCUUAUUUUACGGCGGCAACAUCUAAAGCCUCCAAACUAAGCUCCAAAGAUUGAUCUUCUUCCUUACCAUUCCACAAUCAAGCUUCCCAAGCAGCACAGAUGGAGUUUUUGAAGGCGAAUCAGGGAGAGACUCAACAACGGAACAAUGCAAAACCAGCAAUCGAGGACACGGCUCAAUCGUGGACCAACCUUCUUGCCCAACAUGAGAAAAGAAAAAAAAGUUGAAAAGCUAAGGAACAGACAAUAAGUUGGCCGAAGCAGUCUCCACCCCUGCAUCAAACAUAACCCAUCCCCGCUAGAGACACAAUCUUCAAAUUCAUAGUUGAACUAGCCAACGACUAGAUAUUUCUCAAGCACAACUCAAUGUCAUUCUUCGACACCUUUUUGUGAAUUGAAAUCUUCAGGUAACUUAAAAGAAAAGCCACUUACUAUCAGAUUCAGUCAACUUUGUACUCUGAAUUUCACAUCGGUGUGGGCGACAGUUGACUAGCAUAGAGUUUGUAACCUUCAAAAAGCAAGACCAUCACAUUGUAGAGGAUCCAUACAGAGGAUGACAGAAUGAAAACCAACCAUGCAAAUAGAAACAAAUUUAAUGGUGUUUCUGUUACAACAUUAGAAAUCAGAAGGUACUUCCUUACCUUGUCAGCAAGACAAGAAUUAUUUUGCUACAAUUGGCCAUAAAAUGCAAACUUUUAUGUUUUCUGAAGGUUUGAAGCACUGAGUAUUGAACAAAGACACAUUGUAAAUGCUAAAAACAAUCGUAUAGAUGAAAGUUAGAAGCAAAAGUUCUUCCAAACACACCACAGUGUCAGCGCUCGAUAACCCCUAGUGAAAGAAGAGACCAAUGGACUUCUAUUAUCACAGCUCAAGCUUUUGCAUUUUCCCCCAGUCAGAAGGAGAUGAGGAGCAAUUCCAUUCAACUAGAAAGCUAGCAAAAAAAAAAAGUAAGGACAAAAUGAACAAGCCACAUCACCAUCACAACAAUUUGGAGAUUAGCAUCCUUUUCCAUGUGAAAUUAGCUGCCUUCAACACCAUUUCACCACGUUAUUAGCUAACUGGUAUGAGUGAGGACAUCUUCGGAGAAUCUUAUCAAAGAAAUGCCCACAUACUCAUGAAGAAAAUGCUACUUUGGAUCAGAGGUACAAACAAAUGGUUCACAGGAGAUUGUUCAUCUUUCCACUUCUCAUCACCCCUCAAGGUGCUUCAAGAUCCGAGAACAUGAAAGAAAUGGCUAUGAAAGUAGAACCUCAUCAAUCAAGGUAACCUUCCCGUUCAACCUAAAGUUAGUUCACACUAGUUCCGACAACUCUGCAGUCAAUUUCCACACUACCUAGACAGGGUGAUAAAAUCAACCUAAACCUGUAAUAAGCUCAUAAGUCCUGAUAAUCUUGCUAUACUUGCUCUACGACUGCUCAGAUAACAUAAGGAAAAUUCACCACCAUUGACAGGAAACCUAAUCAAAAGCUAAUAUAGUUAUCUCAUUACACCAUAGCAAACUGGUAGGAGAGAAUAACCAAGCAAAUUUCUGCACCUAAUAGGAAUCACAAACUGAUAAAUAUAACAGGACAACUAAACAUGCUUCGCUGAACAUGCAUAAAUGCUCUAAUUAGUCUUAUUUCAUUUCCUCCGUGUGCAGACAUUGAGCAUCCAAAAUCAGACCAAUAAUAGUGACUCAAAACCUCAAAUCACCAGAAUGCACAUGCACCAAUCACACCAAGAAUCAACCAAUGACUAAAGCGAUCAAUCAGCGACAAGAAUAGAUUAAUGUUAAAAGGGGUCCUAUCACCUGGACUCUGAAGAUAUGGCAUCCAGAAGCAAUGAAGACCCAACAUGAAGAUCCUUCCAUUCAAGCUGGAGCACAAGGGUCAAAGCAAUCAGUGAGCAUGAAUCUCACUUUCGAAUUAGUCAUCCCAUCGUCCUCCACCAGAAGGAAGAUAGAAACAGACCACCAGAUGAUGCUGGACCCCUUAAUCCCUUCCCGUUCUCUCUGUGCUCGAUUUCCACCCUCCUCCUCUUCUUACGCCCAUCCCUAGAAUCACAAGACGCAAUGCAAUCAGCUUAAAGAGCGUCCCCCUUGCAUCCAUAUCCCAGAUAUUUGGUUUGGAUCUCACACCAUUGCUGAAAUUACAGCAAAGCUCGUGGUCAUUUAAAGAAAUCAGGAGCAUGAGAAAUUGUCAUCACCAAAUGAAGAACGAAUAGAAGGAUGCAAAUUCAAUAUGUAAAGAUAUUGAUGGUAUGAAAAAAAGGAGAUGGAUUAGGCGCGAUGAAGAAAAGAAAGAGCGCAAAAUGAUUCCCGCAAAAUGAUUCCUACCAGAUUUCCACCGGACAUGAUGUUACUUUUGAUAGAAUCAAGGCCACAACUCCACCAUCAGAUUGGACAAUCUACAUAUUAGCACUUCAAUUGACAAACAAAGUGGAAUAUGGAUCCUUGGAUAUUCAUCAUCUCAACAUCGGUGUCCGAAAAGUAAUUAUCUUAUGAUGAUGCCUCUAGUGGCUUAUUAAUCCAUGACAUAAAAAGUGGACAUAAGCUACUAAAAAUGCAAUUGAAACCACAUAAACAUGAGUAGUUGCUAUGAUCAAGCAAUCCUUAGAAGUGUUAUUCCACAUUGGUUGAGUAAAGGGCAUUGAUAGGAGUUAUUUACAUGUAGUCUACCUCUAACUAAUACUUUAAGCUUUUCAGUUGAACUUUUGCUAUUUAUGAAUGAAGCUCUGUUUUACUAUGCAUGAACAAAUGAAAAAAUCACAUAAUAAACAUCCUAUGCUCAGGAGUCCUUGAAAUAAGAGGAAAACAAUUAGACAUCGACACGAAAGGGCCCAUGCUAAACUAAAAAUACUAAUGUGAAGUAGGUACUCUCAACUGCUAUAUUUACAUUUACCAGAAAACGUGGAUGCUCUCCAGAAUUCGAUCUCUGUCAUGCUGUUGUCAUGCAAAUAUUUUUCAUAAUUCUACAUGGGUAUAUGUGUUCAUCAUUAUUCUGGUAUUCUCUGUGUAGGUGAAAAUAAACGAACAUGAUUUCUCUCAUCAGGAUUCAGAGACACACAUUAACUAUUGUGCAAAUGAUGAUAAAAGAACAUGACUAGUAUCUUCCAAGUCAAUUUGCACUCCUAACAUUGCCAAUGAGUUAUUCUUAUUGUCGAGAUUACAGUUGUAGUUGGAAAUGCUUGCUUUUGAUGCAGUACCAUUUAAGCUCUCCACAAAAUUGAAACGCACAUGCACAGCUCCUCCUACUUCUUUUCAGAGCCAUAAACAGCAGGGUAGUACUCAAUCUCCGCAGAUUUUUUGUCCCCGCCAUCAGCCAAGCUAAAAAUAGUGCACAUUUCUGGCUGAAACCUCAAUUAUUGCAGGAGUGACUUUCCAAUUCUGUCCAGUGGCAGCUGUAGCAAAACAUUCGGAUUUGAGCUGUAGAUCAAGAAAAGAUGGCAAUUAGAGAUCUAGAUCAGCUCUCAAACAUUAAAGGACUUAAGCAAAUCACCUUUCUAGCCACCCAUUGAUUACUUGUCAUGUUUAUCCCAAAAACAUGAAAGCAAUAAGGUUGAUUUAAGGGCUUCCUCCAUACUUCUGUUUUGGAUCUCACACUGUUAUCCACAAUACAGUGGAAAUCCUCUGUUCUUUUAAAGCCUCUGGGGUGGAGACAUUGUCAUCACCAAACAAUGACCAAACUGAAGUAAUAAAUUGCGAAUGAUGUUAAGGUACGAAAUCGCAAGAUGAUAAUUGAAGGCAUGAAGAAAAACAACAAAAGAGUGGCUUCAUGGACUGGUUUUGACCGUUGAUGAUAAUACUUUCAGCCUGAUCAAGGCCAUGUAUCUGCCUUCAGAGAGAGCAAUCUUCACAUUGGCAUGUUAAGCAACGAGCAAAGUUUGAUACAGAUCCAUGGAGAUUAAUCAUCUUGACAUUAGUGCCCUGGCUUUGAGAAAAUGCAGAACAUGUUUAUGGCACCUUCACUGCCUACAUCCAUGACCAAAUAACGAAUUAAUAAAAUGCAAUCAAGAUCACAUAUGCGUCAGCAGUUUCCAAAAUCCAUCAGAUAGUGAAUUUCUCUACUUCAUAGAAGUUGGAGAGAAGUAUUACUUUAUUUAAACAAACACAGAUUGAUAUCACGUCAAGAAUGAAGAAUCUCGUGUUAUUUGACUGAAGACAACAGAUAUCCUUUUGGAGGCAUUCUGACCUUUUGUAUUCAUAUCAUGAUCACAAGCCAGAUAAAACUGAAGCAUUACAUUUACUUUGCUCAAACAACGUCCUCCGGUUGCUGGAAUUAAGACAAGAAAAUUAUAACGUGUCAAAGAAAAGCCCUGUCCAAACUGAAAAUACUAAUGGAAGCAGGUUAUCUCCACAGAAAAAUGACACUACACCUGCUAUAUUUUUUGUUCAGUAAAUGACUUCAGCGAUCUCCAGCAACAGAUCUUAGUCAUCCUCCAUAGAAUCUGAAUAUUCUUCAACAUCCUCCAUUAAAUAUGGAAAAUUUUGAUAAUCCUGUAAAGCAGAGCAGGGUUACCAAGUCAAUCUUUUUGGUGUUGCUCGCAUCAAAUUGUAUCCAGUACUAUCAAACGUUAGAUCUAACGAUAGACAGCAAACCUCAGUCAGCUUCUCGCUGUUGCUUUCCUCAAUAAAAAGGUCUGGUAAUUUCUUGAGUGACUUGCACCCAUCCCUCUCAAACCACUUCAGGAAUUUACUGGGGCAGCGAAUUUCGACUAAGCUUUUGCAAUCCGUAACAAUCAACUCCUUCAGAUGCUCCGACUUUGAAAGGUCUAGUACUUGAAUGUGCUUGCGCCCAGAAAUAUCCACCACUUCCAGGGAUCCCAAUUUUUCAAGGCCUUCUAUCGCAUGGAGAUGAUCCGCCCCUUCACCAUAUAAUAGCGAUGAUAGCAUUAGGCGCAACCAUCUUAGGGAUUUUAAAGAUCCCAGUCCAUCCAAUUUCUUCAGCCCAUCGCAAUUCUCGAGAUGUAAAUGUAACAAAAAUUCCAAAUCGGAAAGAUUUGGCAACCUUUCCACUUUGGGACAAUCGCAAACGACAAGCAUCCCUAUGCAGGAGGGAAUCUCUGGGAUCUCUUGAAGAAACAUGCAAUCCCAAAGCCAAAGCUCCUCUAGAUGCUUCAGGUGAGAGAGCGAUGGGAUGCUUUGAAGAGAUUCGCAAGACUCAAGGUGGAGCUGCUGUAGAUGCUUGAGGUGAGAGAGCGAUGGCAGCUCCUUGCUCCAACAGGUGAGCCCCAGGUAUGAUAAGCUACAAGGAGGUUUUGGGAGUGACUCAAGCUCUCCACAGCCACUUAAAUCGAGGCGUUCGAGAGAAGAAAGCUAAUCUAAGUUUUCCGGCAAGCCAGAAAUUUUUGUAAAAUAUAAAGAAAGGGUCUUUAGAGAAGACAAUCCACCUUUAUCAAAAAGAAUUUGUCCUUCCAGGUUAUGGCAUCCGGAGGCAUUGAGCUCUUGGAGGCUUUGCAAUUUUCCAAUAGAACUCGGUAACCUUUCUAUCAUGCUAUAAGUCUCAAAAAUUUCAAUUUGUUUAAUUCCCCAAUAAAUUCGGGCAAUCCCUUAAUCGAUGCAGCUUUCAACACCAGCUCAACCAACUCUCCCAACUUCCCAAUUGAAGAAGGGAUCUUUUCUAGUGGCGAAUGUUCUUUAAUCGCAAGCCGCGAAAGCCUCUGGGCACUAAGCCUCUUCAGCUUCUUCAGAGAUCCUAUACAUGGAGGGAUUUCUUUAAUCUGAGUAUUGUCUAAGACAAGUUCCUCCAAAUGUUCUAGUUCGCCAAGCUGUUCAGGUAACAUCUUGAGACUUCUACAACCACUCAAGUUCAAGAGAAGGAGGCGCUUGGCAUAUUGAAUGGAAGGGUCAAUUUCCUUCAAAUUAGCACAACCUUCUAGGAUUAGCCACUCUAAAUUUUUAAAAGCAGAGAGAUUAGGGUUGCUCUUCAAUUUCGAGCACCACGAAAGAUUGAGAACUUUCAAGCUCUCCAUCUACAAGAAAGAAACAUGUUUCAAGAUUAGCAGUUAGAAAUAUAAUGAUUUAUCAUUAAAUGUAACAAAAGAAAAGGCCUUUUUCAUCUUUACCUUAAUUAAACUCCAUCCUCUCCAAUUUUCACUAAUACAGCUUCCACCUUUGUAAUCGUCUGAUAAAUCAAGUACGACUAAUUUCUCCAAAUGAAAGUUGGUCAUCUCCAAAGAGUCGCGGCAUCCCUCCCACUCUAGCCAUCUUAAUUCAGUGAGUGAUUCUUCGAAAUCUCCAUGAAAAUCCACAUCCUUCACAUGAAGGAACUUCAAGUUAGGCAUUUUUUUAAAGCUUUCUCGCCUCAUGAACUCUUUGGAGCCCCUUUGGUCUAGACGUAGUGCCUCAAUAUUUUCAUUUUCCACCUACAAAAAGAAUAAAAUAAAAUUGAGGAUUGUAAAUACCAUUCGACCUCCUUUUGUUCGUAUACUCUUCCAUGAUAUUGUGACCAAUGCAUUUUGUCUACACUAAUAGAGAAAUAGAAAUAUAUCUAAUUUUUUACAAUUACAUGAUCAUAUAAUACGUCGAUCUUCACUCGUAUGCCCCAAUUUUUUAUGUUUUAUGUGAAACUCCAAUAUUAAAUUAGUCUGGUUUUCUUAUAGAUUUUGAAAUUAAAUUUUGUAACAUACAUAGUAUUGACAACCAAUGUCCCUUUGACAUAUAUGGAACACGAUUGUUCCAUGACACGCGUAGAGCUCACAACAAAACUAAAAAAUCCUCAACUGUGACACUUCCUUUAUAAAUUAAUGUAUCUUGAACAAUCUUCCAUCAUUAAUUUAUGUAAUUUGUUAAUUUGACUAAAAGUGACACUAAAAGAAAAGCUAAAUCCACAACUGAAAUCCACAACUGAAAAUUGGAAUUUAAUUUUUUUUAAAUUUUACUAGUGCUUUAACUAACAAGAUAAGUAAUGAUUUUCUAAUAAUUAUCAAGUAAGCGUCAUCAAAUUAUGGUGUGUUGUUUCAGGUAAUCAACUAACCUAAUUAUGCAUUUCUAGAUUAUUCUAAAAAUCGAUAUAUUUCAAGGUGUUUCUUCAAUUAUGUUAAUGACAUUCAUUAAGUCAUACAAUUUAGAGUAAAUUUUCAAUUUUCUUUUUGUUAAGUACAUGCAAUAAUGCAUUGACAUUAUCAUAUUGGAUAUAAAUUGUGAACAUGCAUGGCAAAUCCUAAAAAAAAAAUUGUAAAAAUUCUUCGUACAAAUAAAACCACUGCAUAAGAUCUUAUUACUUCAAAUUGAACAAAAUCUAAAGUUGAUAGCAUAGUUAUGAGAUGCAAAUAAUUGAACUAAAAUCUUUCUUUUUGCUGCCAUAAAGUAGAACCUGCGCUCGAGCAAAUUGCAUAUAUUCACGAUUGAAAAUUAAAUAUGGGAUAAUGCAUUAGAUUCUUGAGAAGGAUACUAUUACAUAUAUCAUACAAAAGUACAUUUCAAGACUGAAAAAUGUGGAAAAUAUGUGAUCCAUGAAUUAAGCAGAUCCAUUUAGGUGAAAAAGAAGAAUAAGAAGAAGUAAAUUUGACAGUUUAACAGGUGGUUAUAUACUCUUAAUUAACAUUUAUCAACCCAAUAUUUAUCGUCACAUCAAUGUACUUCAAAAAUAAAUUCCCAAUAUAUUUUGGGACGAUAAAAUGAAAAAAAAAAUGAAGAAGUAAUGAUUGACAGUAAAGUUUUUGUUAAAUUUGUAAUGACUUAUACACAUUUUAGAGCCAGAAAUAAGUGGCAUAAAGUAAAUUUUCGAACCUGUGUGCUUCAACAAGUAAUAUGGUAAGAAGCAGUAACAUAUUUGCUAAAAAAAGAUGUGAAUAUUUUCUGAGCCUCAUAGUCACGAGUGCAAACUUUUCAUGAACUAUAGGCCAAAAUUCGAUGUAGCUUUUACCAAGAAAAUGCUAAUCACAUGUUGAGAAUGGUCAAUGAUCUAGAGCAAAAGAACGAUGACGAUAAUAAUGUAAGGGACUAUGAUUGGAGAACAUGGGAGAGGACAAAAGUAGACAUCAUCGUUACCUUACGACGUAGAACUUUCAUGACUUUCUCCUUGUCCCAUAGUCUGCUACAAUCCCAAGGCUUCUUAUCUGCUGGACAAGCGAUAAUUCUACCUAGAUCUCUUAAUUGAUCAUGCAUUCUAAAUUGAUUAUUGUCAUCAAUUUUUAUUAACGAACAGUUAAUCAAUAUUCGCAAUCCGGUUAUUGGGAAGAAUUCGAGGUCCGCCCAAAAGUAGGUGGCAAUUGUUUUGUCAGUUCCAAUGAAAAAACAUGCAAUGUCUAGAAACAUCUGCUGCUCCUUAUAUGUUAAUGUAUCAUAACUUAUCCUCAACUUUUCUUGCACAGUCUCAUUAGGUGCAUUCCUCAAUUUCUUCAAAGUCUCUUCCCACUCUAUUCGAUCUUUUUCUUUGAGAAGUGAACCUAUAACGAUGAGAGCGAAGGGAAGCCCUCCUGUGGUGGCAACAAUAUUACUAGAAAGAUCAGUGGGAGGUUGUUCCCCUUCAAAUGCAUAUUUACUAAACAGAAGCAUAGAUUCUUCGCAAUUCAGUUCUUUGAGUGCAUACAUUUUAUAUUUAGACUCCAAGACGACCUUAUCCAAGACGGCCUUAUCUCGACAUGUAAUAAUGAUCCUGCUUCCUGACCCGAAAUUACAACGUCCAAUCAAUUCAUCAAGGUGGUGUUGAUGAUCCACAUCAUCAAGAAGAAUAAGUACCUUCUUUUUUUCACAACUUGAUCGGAUGGUAUCAAUUCCCAUCUCGGGAUCACGCACUGUACUUUUAGCAACUUUCCUUAUAUCUGAGAUCAGUAGAGAUUGGACAUGCUCCAUACCCUCGCUUUUAGCUGUUUCUCUAAUAUCCUUGAGAGAGCUGCGGUAGCGAAAUUUGUUAAAAAGUUUAUUAUAGAUCAUCGUAGCCAGAGUUGUCUUACCGAUGCCGCCCAUCCCCCAAAUCCCAAUAAUUCGAGUGUCCGGGCAAGCAAGAUCCACCAAUUCCAUGACCUCAGCAACACGAUCCUCAAUUGCAACCAACUUCUCGGGCAGAUGUGGCUGAAAAUCUUGUCGCUGAUAAAGCAAUAUUUUUUCUACGAGUGCUUUUACCAAUUCCCCUUCACGCCUGUCAAACAACACAACACAUGAGAACUUAUUAACGGCUCCACAAAACAUGGAUUAAGGAUGAUAAAUAGAAAAGUUCUUCUUCCAACAAGGAUCUGUUAAAAGAAGAUAAACAAAGUACCCAUCAGCAAAUUUCUCUGAUUCGAAUACUCUAAGAUCAACUGCUUCUCUAAGAGCUAGCGGCCCCUGUUGCUUGACCUCCUCAUCAAAACGACCCAUACCGGAUUCGAAGGCCUCUCCAAAUUUCCCCUGCAUAUGUUUCACAUCUUCAGUUUUCACCUUGUAAAGCACGGGCAAGACUAUUUGUCCUCUGCUUUCCUUGCACUUCAUUAUAUGGAUGAGCUCGCGGAGGCACCAUUUGCUAGCAGCAUAAUUUUCCGAGAUGACUGGGAUUGAAACCUUAGAGCACUCGAUUGCACUGAUGAGAUUUUUGCCAAUUUUCUCACCGAAGGUGAGGUGCUCAUCAUCUCUGAACACGAAGUUUGGAUGGAACGGCAGGCCCACAUCUUUGAGUCUAUGGUAGAGGUGAUCAACGAAGCCUUUGCGAGUAGCGGGGCCUCUAAAGCUCAAGAAGACGUAGUAAUUGUUUCCAAUCACGGAGGUGUACAAAGCGGAUGGGUCAGACUUAGCUCCGGACGCCGACGGCACAUCGAUCUUCUCCAAAGAAUCAGAAGAGGGAAGAAGAUGAGGCGAUUCGCUCUCGCGCUGCUCCGACUGUAAUUCAACCGAUUGUCCGGGUCUUUGUUGCCUCGAAAUGGUCGGACUCGAAGCAUCAGUGUAUUUAACACACUUUGAGCAAUGAUUUCCCAUCGCAGCUCUCUUUGUGAGGCUCGACUGUUGUGGAAAAUUUUGAGGUGGGGGAAGAAGGGCGGUGAGUACAGUGGUUUGCUUGUCAACCAGGAAGACGCCUCCGUUCGGCUGCUAGGGUUUGUGCUGGGAAAAGUCGCUACUCGCUGGUAAUAAGAGGAAGAACGGAAAGCAGGAGGCGAGACUCGAUUAUUUUAUGGGGCAUGAUAAAAGGAAACCGUUCUCGACUAAGGUUUCGGGUCGGGUCCGGUAUCAUCAAACCCGACCGAACCAUUGACACCUCCAGUUUACAGGAUGGAGAAAUUCACCUUAGAAGAGCCUAGAAAUCUGUACAUUGAAUUAUUUACCUGAAUUAUUAUCUUCAACAGAAACAAUUGUUAAAAAAUCUCUUAUAAAACUUAACGCACAAAAAUAUUAUCUUCAGCUGGGGAGCGUACUCGAGCUGGUAAAAGAGUUAAAAGGGAAAGCAGGAGGCGAGGCAGGAAGUCGAAGCAGGUUUGUCGUUUCAUAUAUUUCAUGUGUUUAUAUUGGGAUCCAGAGACGCGUUCGAAUUUUGACUAAAUAAUUUAAUUGUUAAUUGACUAGAAGCAAUUCUUGAGGUCCUCACUCCUCGCCCUCGACGUCUGCUCCCAGCUAGCCUUAACAACCACCCCCAUUAUAUAAAAUAAAUUAAAAAAUGAAAGAAAAGAAUAUAUUAGCUAUGGUGCGUUUGUUUGUAUUUCUGUUUAAAAAUUAUCCAGAAAACAGAAAUAGAAAAAAGUGUUUCUAUUCCUAAGAACAAUUUCUGAACAAAAAAACGCGUUUGAUAACUAUAUAAAAUUUCUGUUUCUGGAAAAAAAAAAGAACAAAAACACGUUUGGUAACUGUAAAAAAUUUAUGUUUCUGAAAUAGAAAAAAAACAGAAACACGUUUAGUAAUAUACAAAAUUUCUAUUCCAAUUUUUUUUCAAUUUAUUUUAAUAAAAUGUGAACUUAGUAUUGAAUUAUCAUUCUCAUGAAAUGCUCAUCAAUUUAAUUUUGUUUAUAUUAAGUGAAAACAAACAUUCUAAACUUGAUCAUAUUUGCUUAGUCGGAAGAAAUUUUUUUAAGUUUGUACCAAAAUUUUCCCAUUCGUUUUUUUUUAAAUAAAGUGUAAACUUGACUUUGAAUUCUCAUUAUCAUAAUGACAAGCGAGCGGUCUGAGUUAGGUUAAAAAUUAUAAUAAUAGACUGACCAAUUUGUGCCCUGCACUAAACAGCCAUAUAGAGACCGUACAGAAUUUCACACAAAAAUAUUUUAUUCUCUUUCGAGGCAACAAGAAAUUCUGAUCACAGAUAUAAGUGUAUAAUGCAAGAAAGAGUAUCCGUCUUUGUCCUCGCUUUGCUCACAGCACCACUAUACACAAACCAAAAUGUGCCGAAAGAUGAAAGUAUAAGACUCAUCAAGGUCUCAAAGUCUCUGCAGCAUAGAAAAUGUAUCCAACUUAGUAAACGCCGUACUAGUCUGUUCUAGCGACUCCAUAGCGGAUCUUGUCCAAAUUUCGUUGCCAUUCGUCAAUCUCUGCUUGGGUGCGACUCCUUUUCGGUUCAUCUUCUCUCUUUAGCUGCUCCCUUAAUUCCAAGAUCUUUCUCUCAAUACAUUGAAUCUGCAGAAAACCAAGAUUUGGCUGAAGUGGAAAAUUUUGGAAGGGCAAAUUUCAAUUCGAGAACUGAGAGAAACGAAAGGGAAUGUAACCUUUCUAUAAGGCCACCGCCCCACUCCGCCUUUUCGGCAAAUUUUCUUGACAACGGUAGGACACAAAUGCAAUCUUUCAGAAGCCUUUUCGAUGGAAGAUGGAAGUAACCUCCGACAUCUGCCAGGGUCAUCUUUCCCGCUCUCUCCCUCUACACUAAUCUCAGCACAUAAAUACAGCCGUUUCAGAAUAAUGGAAGAAAAAAAUGAGUGCAAUACAAUUGACGUCCGUUGAACGAGAUCAUUAUUCUAAAGGCCAAGUCCUAGAGGAUAAAGACUGACGGAGUAAUAUAUAUUUCAACAGAAUCCACACAGAAACUGUUUGCGAUGAUAAUUUGGUGAAAAACAGAACUCCGGAUAUCGCUUCCAUUUAUAACAGUCAUAAGAGAUAAGAAAAUAUGAUUGUUUAUCGUAGCAUAAAAGGCUGUACAGGACACACAUACACAGUUAAUAAUUCUAGAAAAGCAGUAACCUGUGCCGCAAGCCCAGUUUUAAGAGACUUCACCUGUCGUUUCUUAGGUUUUGGCUUGUUGUCCGUCUGCCUGGGAUUCUCUACUUCAAGCAACGAAAAUACAAAACAAUAAACAAAAAGCAUUCUACCGCUUCCAGCUAUUCAAAAGAUCGACGGGCUCUUGAAUCUGAUUCUCUAUGUGAGGCUUAUAAUGUUGUGACAUGGAGAAGUGAGAAUGGCUAUGCAUCACCUGAAACAGUCGGAGGCAGAGGUAGUUGAAAAUAAUCGGCAUUUACAUUGCCAUUGAAAUCUAUUCCGACGCACACAGCUUCAUAGAACAUGGCGAGCGGGUCCUGGUACAUGAUGUAGCCAGCCAGCCUCCUUCCCUCACAGUAUUGCUGCAGAAAAUCCUUCACAUUCUGUAUGCUUUUCUUGCAAAAACUGAAAUGGAAGCAAGAAAGACAGGACUAUAUUGCUGCACGAUACAUAUUUAGAACCCCAAUUUCCCAAAAAAAGGAAUGUCAUCUAAUUUUAAAGAAAAGAAGAUCGAUUNNNNNNNNNNNNNNNNNNNNNNNNNNNNNNNNNNNNNNNNNNNNNNNNNNNNNNNNNNNNNNNNNNNNNNNNNNNNNNNNNNNNNNNNNNNNNNNNNNNNNNNNNNNNNNNNNNNNNNNNNNNNNNNNNNNNNNNNNNNNNNNNNNNNNNNNNNNNNNNNNNNNNNNNNNNNNNNNNNNNNNNNNNNNNNNNNNNNNNNNNNNNNNNNNNNNNNNNNNNNNNNNNNNNNNNNNNNNNNNNNNNNNNNNNNNNNNNNNNNNNNNNNNNNNNNNNNNNNNNNNNNNNNNNNNNNNNNNNNNNNNNNNNNNNNNNNNNNNNNNNNNNNNNNNNNNNNNNNNNNNNNNNNNNNNNNNNNNNNNNNNNNNNNNNNNNNNNNNNNNNNNNNNNNNNNNNNNNNNNNNNNNNNNNNNNNNNNNNNNNNNNNNNNNNNNNNNNNNNNNNNNNNNNNNNNNNNNNNNNNNNNNNNNNNNNNNNNNAGAUCUGGGUGAGCAACGCUCGCCCAGAUCUGCGAGACUCGCUCGAGCAAGCGGCUCGCAGAUCUGGGCAAGCGCUGGCUCGAGCGAGCCUUAACACUCGAGCUCUCGCGAAGUGAAGACAAUCAGUGAAGGAGGAGCAGUGACCACGUUUACCUGGUGAAGGAGCAGCGGCUGUCGAGACAGAGGCCGCUGUCGGCGCCGGAGAAGACGAUGGAUUUCUCUGCUCGCAGGAGGAGACGCUCGUCGCAGGUCGCAGGAGGAGAAGCUCGUCGCUCGUCGCAGGUCGCAGGUCGCAGGAGGAGAAGCUCGUCGCAGGUCGCAGGAGGAGAAGCUCGUCGCAGGUCGCAGGUCGCAGGAGGAGAAGCUCGUCCCCGGGGGGGGGGGGAGGGGGAGGCGCUGUUCGAGCACUAUCCAAGAAAUAAAAAAGGAACACAAUUUUGUUCCUUUUUUGUUUCUGAUUUGUGUUUCAAAUCCUGGGAAAAAAAAUAGAAAAAAUGUUUAAAAACCAAAAAAAAGAAAUAUAAAUAAACACAGCCUAUAUUGCCACUAUAAUUAUAUUACCGUGAUCACAAUAAUUAAUUAUUCAAGAAAUAUACUUUAUCUUCAUUAGAAUAAGAGAUUUCUACAAUAUUGAAAGUAAUUAUAUGCCCCUUGAAUUAAAGUCGAAAGAUAUUUAGUUCAAUUAAAGUCGAAAAGUAAAAGGAAAAUUAUUCAAAAACAAGUUAAGAUAGACAUCUCUCAUGAAUAAUGUAGCAUGUCAAUUACCCAUUAAAAGUGUUUUGGUGAACCACUUUUAUAUUUAUCUAUUAAGAUAGGUCCACCAUAUCUAUUUUAGAUCUAUAUAUGAAACAUAUUUCGUUUUAUAAGCUUAAUUCAUAUCUCAAAGAAAUUAUGCUCUUUUUUUUUUUUGGCAAGCACAUCAACAAAUUUGCUUUUAAUUAACUUGUGGACUUCAGCAAAUGACAAAAAUAAUAAACAUAACUAUCAAACACUCAUGUUCUUACUUUUCUUUGAUUUUUGGCCCUAAUGACAUCAAACACUAUUUUUUUGAUUGCCAUGUCUCAGCUUCUCUUGCUUUCUUUUGGGCGACAAGGUGUAACUUACCUUGGCGAGCGAGACUGUGGGUGGAUAACCUAUCUUGGGCUAUUAAAUUCUUAUCCGAUAAAGGGUUCUUCUACUGUAUUGCUAGAGUUUCUUUUGCUGCCUUAUGUUACUUGAUUUGGGAAAAAAGGAAUGAUAUUAUAUUCCGUGGGGAAGCCUUGGUCGUCUCUGCCUUGAAAAAUCACCUGAUCAAAGUUGUAAAGGAGAAAGCGCUCACCUUCUCAAAUGUUCCAGAUAUCCCGAGAAAUAGGCGUCUUCAGAGGAACUGGGGCUUUCAUCCCUCCAUUUUCUCAGGCCAUACUUCGACUUCUAUAGGUUGUUGCUUGGAUCGCGUUCCUGCUUCAAGUUACUUUAGCUAUCCGUUCUUGGUCUCUUCGUUUCUUGAAUUGCCAAGGUUUCGUGUUGGCUGCCGUGACUUCUAUUUAGUGACCGUGUUGGUCGCUUUUUGUUUUUCUUGUUUUUGUUUCUCCUUGCCUUUGGCUUUUUCUUCGGCUCCUUUCCUCUCUUUCUACUUACUGUAGUUAGAGUGUAAGUCUUUGGUGCCGCUUUUGUAUUUGUCUUUAGCUAUUUAUCCAUUACCUUUACAAAAAAAAAAAAAAACACUAUUUGCUUUGAGAGGACAGCCACCCUCAUAUUACUAGAAAGCAUUCACCAAUUAUUUUUCUCAACCAGCCCCACCACUUCUCUUUCUGAGUCUCAAAGGCCAUCAUGGCCCUCUUCCUUAUUACUGUCCAUGUGAAACGCAUUGGUUGCCAGUCUAAAAGAAAAAGGAAAGAACUUUAAAGCACCGACGCAAGAAUGUUACCAAGAAUGUUCGCGCGAAGUUUUCGAUUGAACUUCCUUGCAGUGGGGGCAUCAUUGGAUUGACAAAUCAACAUCUAUUGCAAGUCUAACAGUAGGGAACUACUUGGGAGAAUAGAGAUCUUGAAGUCACAUGCAAAGGUAAAGCUAAGGUUCCUAAAGUCAAGGAUUUUGUCUUUCAAUAUUGUGGGCUUCAAUGAAUUUUUUGUUCAGGAAAUUUUGGCAACACAUUUCGCUCAUGGAGCUGUAAAUGGAGCAGUGAUAGUCUUUGAGCAAUAGAUUAACUACCACUGAACAUGAGAAAAAAUUAUUAUUGAAAAUGAUAUGGUGCCUAGAUUGUUGAGAUACGGCAAGUAGUGUAGGCUUCUUUUCAGGAUCGAGACACUACAAAGGCCUCGACGAUUGCUGCAUGAAGCGCGAUACCCUCUUUCUCCUUUCUUUUCCUUUAAUUUAUUUUCGUUAAAUAUCAUUUUCUUUCCUACCAAAGGAACCUCCUAUUCCUUUCGAUCUUGAGAUUGAGUAAUUGUAUAUUUUCUUGAAGAGAUAAGAAGGUUGUGUUUGGGUGCGAAAGAACUAAGGCAAUAAGAAAAUUGAAGAUAGAGAGAAGAAGGUUGUGUUUGGGUGCGAAAGAACUAAGGCAAUAAGAAAAUUGAAGAUAGAGAGAGAGAAGAAAAUAAGAAAUAAAGGAAGGAUAUAGAGAUGAGGUGUGAAUGGAAAUGACGUGUUUAACUUUACAUAGGGAAGGGUACAUGUGCUGAGGACGAUCAUAUAUUUCGACUUACAAGUCAAAAGUGGUAUCUUAUCUCAAUUAGAUUUGGACAAAGAACAGUGGGCACCCUUUCAUUCACGGUUACUAAGCAAUACAUUGCGACAUGUAAUUACACCUUACACUACAUUGGUUGGGUGGCCUUUUUCGAUCAUUGUAUUUCGCAAAUGGAAAGAAUCGGUAUUUCUAUCUCAUGAGUCGGGGACCUUCAUGACUUUCCCCAUCCGUCCGUACGGCUCGACUUUCCAAGUCUGCAAAGCCAUGAACCUCUCCUUUUUGGCGUGUCAAUGUGAAACAAGCUGGCUGCCUCCAGCUGUUCAAAAGAAAAAACAAGAAACAGACUUAAAGCACCCACAUCAACCAUCACGUUCCCGAAUCAGCCUCUUGAAGUUUUCGUCCGAGUAGCCUUUUUUCACUCUUAUUCAAGUUCUGUGCAGCACGCGCAUAAAUUGACAAAAGAUACCGUAAUUUUUAUCUUCAAUGAAAAUAAUUAUGAGAAAUCAACGUCUACUUAUUGAGUCUAUUGUGCAGAAAACAGUUCACUCCGACGAGACGACAGUUUUUUCCUAAAGCGGUUAGCUCUUUGUGGCGUGCUCCAUGUACCACCAAGGGACAUAUGGGGAUCCAAUUUCGUGGAAUUUCGAAAAUAGUUGGGCAUCACAAACAAGCAGUAUUUGAGAUCAAAGUUGGAUACUCGCACUGGGAUCAGCUGACCUGUAAGAGCACCGAACCGGCGUGGUGGGAGGCACGGAAUGAAGCUUUCUUGGGCCCAAGAGAGCAGAAAAAGCAUGGUAUCAAAUAAUAUAAGCAGCUUUUCAUAGAUAUUGAAAUAGGACCCGUUUAUAGUUACAGUUUCAAAACUUCCUUCGCCAUGACUUAAGUCAAUUUUGGAAUGUCUCAGUUACUCAAACGGGGGUGUCUGGACCCUAAAGCAGUUUGCUCAAAGUGGUGUGUUCUGCCAAUCUUUGCCUUCCUCUGCUAAUAACCGCUACCCGCAAAAGGGAUCCUUCCAAGGUCCCUAGGCGACGAAAAUGGAACAGGAUUAGGGGAGCAUGUUAGUCGUUUGAUUGAGAGAGGAAGCUGUGCACUUUCAUAUGCAUUCUAUAAGCUACUUGCUCAGGUGGUCCAGUUAGGAACAUUCUAGGAAAACUACAAUUCUUUAUUAAGAAUAAGUUCCUUCAAAAUCUCGGGCACUAAAGAAAAAUUAUCAUUCAUAAAAAGUUAUUAAUAAUGGGAGCCUUGACGUCACUGGCACUCGUAGAGAAAGUAUGAUCUCAUUCUUAUAUACAAAUGUUAUCUACUAGCUAGAGAUAGAUCCAUCAUUAAGUGUCAAGUGUACCCAUUACCCAUUGAAAUUUUUUGGCAAGUCACUAUUACUUUUAUUUAAUAAGUUAAUUCAUUGUAUCCAUUUUAGAUCUAUAUAUGAAACGUAUUUUAUUUUAUAGGCUUAACUCAUAGUUCUAAAAAAUUAUGCUCUCUUUUUUAUGUGCAAGCACAUCAACAAUAUUGCUCUUAAUUUUUACCCAAAAAAAAAACAAUAUUGCUCUUAAUUAACUUAUGAACUUUGACAAUGACAAUGAUUUAAGAUAAUAAACUUAACUGUCGGGCACUCAUAUUUUCACUUACUUUUCUUUGAUUUUUGGCCCAAAUGACAUUAGCAAUAUUGUUUUUAAGACGACAACCACCAUCACAUUACUAAAAAGCAUUCGCCGAUUAUUUCUCUCGUCCAUCCUACCACCUAUCUUUCCAAGUCUCCAAGGCCAUCAUGAACUUUUCCUUUUAGGGUUAAUGUGAAACGCGCUAGUUGAAGGUCCAAAAGAAAAUGGGAAAAGCUUAAAGCACCGACACGAUGUAUCGGUACGUUCCCAGAAAAUCCGUGUGAAUUAUUUGUCCUCUAAUUGAACCGUGUAGUGGGGGCAUCAUUGGAUCUGGAAAUCAACGUCCAUAGGCUACCAUGUAGCAAAUAAAAAGUCUACCAGUAGGAAACUAUUUGGGGGACACACACUAAAUGCUUUCACAGGAAAAUGAAGGAUGAGGAGCUCUUGACGUGUACGUGAAGCCAAGGUUCAUAAAGUUUAGAAUUUUGCCCAUCGAAAUUUGUGGGCUGAAACCUUUGUGGGUUAACGUGUGAAUCGGCCUCCCAUGUGAUGCACGGUUUGAUUUAUUACUACCAUUUGGUCAUCCUAAAAACUUAAUAAGAACCGUUCUUUAUCUAAAUCUUGAGCUUCGUUGACUACUUCGAACUGAGUUGUUGUGGGAUCCUAAUAUAAUUUCAAUUUAUAUAAGUAUUUUAAAAUCGCUAUCUUAUUAUUUGAUGCAUAAUUUAAUUCAUUUCUAUCUUAUUUGUCAUCUUAAAAGUUCGUAAGGAAUUACUUUUUUAUUUAGACUCUGACUCUAACGAAUACUCUAUCAUUGUCAAAUCAAGUUAUUAUAUUAUUAAAAAAUAAAUUCUUAAUAAGGCGAGCAUCAAUUAUUUAAUUAGUGAUGAAUUACCCAUGAUGAGAUGUUAUUUUGUUGCAUUUGUGUUAUCUCUCGCAUCACAUCUUUAGUGAAUUAUAAAUUUAUCUUCGUGCUCAGUUAAAGGAGUACCUUGUUGGCUUCUUUAGUAUUGUAGAAAUCAUAUUUACAAAACGAAUAGUACCUCUCCUUUCCCAUACUUUUCUCCUUCCUUUUUCUUUAAUUUAUUUUCGUUAAAUAUCCUUUUCUUUCCUACCGAAAGAAACUCCUGCUCCUUUCGUGCGUGGCGAGAGAGAGAGAGAGAGAGGGGGGGGGUAAUCGUGGAUUUUCUUGAAGAAAUAAAGGUUGUGUCUGGGUGUGAAAAAACAACGACAAGAAGAAAAUUGAAAAGAGAAGAAAAGGAAAAUAACCUCAUGUUACACCUUACAAGUCACAAGUGGGAUUGUAUCUCAAUUAGAUCUGAAUGAAAAAUGACCAAAACCACUUCACUCACAAUUAAUUUGAUGAAGGAUGAUGAAUGGUAAUUUCAAGAUUUGAGUCACAAGCAAUGCAUUGCUACGUGUAAUUACACCUCCACUACAUCGGUCGGCGGCUUUUUCAACCAUUGUGUUUCGCAAAUGAAAAAAUCAGUCUUUCCAUCUCAUGUGGACUCUGUACGCACAUCUAUCUCCCUCUUCUUUUCCUCCUUUCCUUUUCUGCUUAUUAUUCCAUGGACGAACAGACGCAGAGAAAAACAGAGACCUCUCUACUUCACUCAAUGAACCCGCAGUCCCUCCGUCUCGUCGUGAAUUCACAGUACUUGAGUGACCUGUAAAGAAUCACACAUAAUAUUUGAUCGACUGCUUCCCGGGGGACCUUUGUCGCUUUCCUCAUCCGUCCCUACUGCUCUUCUUUUCCGAGUCUGCAAAGCCACAAGCCUCUUCCUUUUGGCGUUAUUGUGAAAAACGCCGGUUGCCUCCAGCUUUUCAAAAGCUAAAGGAAAAGAGGGUUAAGGCUCCGUUUGGCAACCAUUUUGCCAAGUAUCUUUGAGCCCCUAAAAGUCUUUAGGCUAAAGUGGAGGUAUUUGGCAAAAACAUUUGAAGCCCCCUUUGGAGAAGGCUUUGGAGAAGGCCAGCCUUGGGCAUUUCAACUUUCUCAAUAAGCUGAGAGUACUGUUCAAUUUUAUUUUAUUUUCGAAAUUAUCCUUAAGAACUUUUUGUUUUUCCGUUUUUUGCCCUUGUGAGGAGUACUGUUCAUCUUCUUCGUCGAGGGUGGCCCCGGCGGCAACUGCUCGGGUCGCGCGACCAAGGCGCUGCCCUCGCCGAGGUCGCGUGACCUCAGGCGAGGGUUGCGUAGCCUCGGCGACGGCCGAUCGGGGUUGCGCGACCCUCGCCGAGGUCGCGCGAUCCAGGCGCAGCCCUCGCCGAGGUCCCCCGACCUCAGGCGAGGGUUGCGUAGUCUCGCGACGGCCAAUCGGGGUUCUCGGAGGUUGAGGCGGCGUCGCGCGCGACCUCGCCGGCCCAGAUCCGUGGUCGCCGGAGGUCGCGACGGCAUCACGCGACCUCGCCGACCCAAAUCCAAGGUCGUCGGAGGUUGUAACGGCAUCACGCGACCUCGACGAAGGUCGCGACGGCAUCGCGCGACCUCGCCGGCCCAGAUCCAGGGUCGCAACGGCAUCGCGCGAUGCCCGCGACCUCGCCGGCCCAGAUCCGGGGUCGCUGGAGGUCGCCAAAGGUCACCGCCGGCCGCCGGAUGCCGCCUGCCUUUGCUGGUUUUCAUUUUUUUAUUUUUUUAUUUUUCUUUUAAUAAUUUAUUGUUCACAAAAGUCCUUUGUCCCCCAAACAAGGUACUUCAUAAAGGGCUUUUAAAUUACAAUUUACCAAAAACAGUUUGCAUUUUAGAAAACACAUUUAACUCAAAGGUCUUUGCAUUUUCCUAAAAAUUUUCCCCCAAAAUCUUCCAAAACACAUCCUAAAGCACUCACAACAAUCAGUACGUUCUCUGAAUGGUCCGCCUGAAGUUUUGUUCGAGUAGUCUUAUUCAAGUUCAGUGCAGCACGCUCAUCAUCGGAUCGAGAAAUUGACAAGAGAUUCCGUAAUUAUUAUCUUAGACGAAAACAAUUAUCAGAAAUCAAUGUCUACUUACCGAGGUUACUAUGUUGGAAAUAGUAAGGGUAAUAGUAUGAAGCUAUAUGGGAGACGUACAAUAGAUGCUUUCACAAGAAAAUGAAGAGGAGUUGUUGAAGUCAUCCGUGAAAGCUCAGGUUCUUUCAAAGUUUUUGGGCUCCAAACUAAGGAGAAAAGGAAAGAGUUGCCUCAUCCGUGCGGGAAAGAAACAAAAAAAAGUUCGCUUUGCUUCAAGUGUUUUUGCGGGUCAUGUGAGAAAAACAAUCUUAAUGAUAAGUGUAAGCUUUCACUCAUAAUAAAUUAUGUUUGAUAAUUGUGCGAUCAUUUUUUAUUUUUUUUUUAUGUAAGUUGUAUUCAUACUAUAUUUUUCAGUUAAAUAUGUCCCGAGCCGAGUUGCUCAUUACAAUUUUCUCAUGUUGCGACUACCGCGCUUCUGUACCCGACAACAAUGAGUGAUAAAUCAUGUCUAGUUUCCGAAUGAAUUUUGCUGCAAGGUUAGCUCCAGAUGCUUUUUCAACCAAACAACUAACGACCUUUUUUUUUUUAAAUAAAAAUUUGAAGACAUGGCAUGAUUUGUGCAAUGCUCAUAGCUCUCGAAGUAUGCAAGUGGGAACAAGAUAUGAAUGGAUAGGCAUGAUCACAUGCAUCGUACCAAAAGCCACGUACAUCAUACUCAUUAAUGUUUUUUGUAUUUUAAACCGGUUAUCACAUCAUAAUAAUCAUCAAAUCAGUUGUAAUCUUAUUAUAUAGAUAUCAAUUUAAUCUUAAAUUUUACAAUUUCAUCAAUUCAAUUCUAAAUCUUUAUACGAUAUUUCAAUAUAACCCUUGUGAUCAAUUUUUAAUGAAAAUCACUGGACAAUCUAAGAUAAUUAAAUCAUCAUAUCAAUGAUUUUCGAUAAUAGGCCAUAGAGGUUAUAUUGAUAUAUUAAACAAAAGUUUAGAUGAUUAAGUUGAUAAAAUUGUUAUAUUCUACCGAGAUUGUUUUCGAAACUGACGCGUGAUGCAAUAGUGGUGAUAUGGCACUAGUGCUGAAAUUAUUGGAAGCCUUCCAUGAGGUUUGCUCUCUGGAGUCAUUGUGAAAGUAUGGAAUACAUUUGUACGAAUUGACCGACACGCACUAUCCUUGAAAGCUCAAUCUAUGGCUGGCAUGGACGGGGUACAAACAUGAGUUGGGAAAGGAAUGUGAACCUUCAAGAAACCUAUCUCCACGGUGAUUGUUUGGGGGCCUUGUGUACACUACCUUGGUCCAGUACCUCAACUUGAACUUCAUAUACAUUUUGGACCUCAAUAGCUAUAUUCUAACGCUUGAAUGAAAAUAAUAUAAAAUCAUAACAUGAUUUUCCCAGACAGAAUGAAUAUGAUCGACAUUCCGCACUUUGUCAAGUUUGACACGUAAAUCUAAUUAAGGAAUCCUAUAAGGAAUCCUAGAUAGCCGGGGAAUCUUGUGAAGAAAAUAUAGCAGUUGAUCAACAACAUACUAAUGAUUUACCAUGAAAAGAUUGUUAAGGGACUAAGAUAGCUGAACUUAAGGAAUUUCAUAACAUAUGGGUUAGUUGAAGCAAUUGUUCUUCUAGUUGAGUAUCCUUGUGGAUAAUAUGAAAUGGAAAGAAUUUACAUAAGCUAAUAAAUAGAACCAAGUAUAUUUAAUACGGAGGAAGCGAAUUAUUCUUCAAAAGAAGUGUCUGGAGAAAAUUAUAACUCAGAUAACAUUUAUCUACAACUCUACUAACACUUUGCUAGCAUCAUCAAAAUCUCAAAUUUUAUCAAUCAAGUACUAUUCUCUACACCAUAUGCAAUUUAGAAUAAUAAAUAAAAAAGAAACCACGCAUCCACACACAAUUUUGAGUAGGAAAAUUUUCCUUCUGAAAAUACACAAAAUUAACUCAAUUUCUCUCUUUCAGCUAUACGCAAUUUUUUCUAUAUUUCAAAUCUCGAAUGAAUUCGCGUAUUUCCUAAAUGUUUGUACAUAACAGGUUAAAUUCAGUUACUUAUUCCAAAUUUUCCAAUUGAAUCGGAGAUAAGAUAGAGACGACAUCUCCAUCACAUUAUGGAAAAGCAUUCACCAAUUAUUUUUCUCAUCCAUCCGAAUCGCUCUUCUUUCCGAGUCUCCAAGGCCAUCAUGACCUCUACCUUUUAGAGCCAAUGUGGAACGCAUUAGUUGCCGGCCCAAAAGGAAAUGGAAAAAACUUAAAGCACUGACACCAUCAGUAUGUCCCAGGAAUGACCACAUGAAGUAUCUGUCCUCUAAUCGAACCGUGCAAGGCAUGUCGGGGUUUGGAAUGUGAACGAGAUUGGAGCACUCGGAGGCCAAGUGAUCGCACCACGUUCGAGCUUUGACCCACCCGGACUCGGCGCCACACAGCAACUCGUCCUCGCCUUUUGCGGUCGGGCGUUCUUGAGAGAAAUGAGUUGGCACAUAACAGAACGAAAGAGCCCAAAGUUCAGCAAGCAAACUCCACCAAGCACACACCCAUCGCCAACCAAACCCUGUGCGAAAUUCAAGAACCGAAAAAUCGCAACGCUCCUAGAUCAAUCGAAUUCCAAACGCACUGACAACGCCGGCCCGACCCCGAUCACGGGGUUCCGGCGCAAACCCAAGAAAAACAGAAUCAUAUCCACGAAUCGAAAUUGAACAAACACCCGAACGGACGAACAAGAACAGGGGAGAAAAGAGAGAGGGAUCGGGUGUGCGAGAGAGAGAAAGAGAGGGAACAAACCGAGAAGACCGAUAAUAAGCUGAUCCGUUUACCAUCCAGCAACGAAAAGGAAGUAAAGAGGGAGGAAGAGAGAGAGAGAGAGAGAGAGAGAGGCAUAUCAGGUAGAAGAGAGAGGAGAGAAAAAGAGGCGGUGAGAGUGGCAGAACAAAGGAGAGGAAAGAGGAGCGGAUGCUGCGAGAAUCUCGAUGUAAAGAAAAGAGCCUUCGCGUGAUGGACCGUAGAACAAAGGAGAGGAAAGAGCAUCGAGAAAGGUAGGGUUUUGUUUAUAUUGGGUAAAAUUGUAAAAAUGAGCCUUUAAAUUUUUUCUAAGGAGCUUCGGCGAUCCAAAAUCUCUUGAGAAAGCUGAACCAAAUACCUUCGGCGAUCCAAAAUCUCUUGAGAAAGCUGAACCAAAUACCUUUUAUGUAAUAGUAAGUCUCCCGGUUGAGAAAUAUUUGGGAAACACCCGAUAAAUGUUUUCACAAGAAAAUGAAGGAUGAGGAGCUCUUGACGUGUAUGUGAAGCCAAAGCUCAUUAAGUUUAGGAUUUUGUCUUUUGUGGAAUUCAAUCUUUGUGGCUAAACGUGUGAAUCUUUUUCUCUGGAAUUUUGGGGACACGCAUUUCAAAAAAUUUUGCUCCAGAAGUUAACGUAGUUAAAGCAAUAAAGCGGUGCCUACAAUUAGGGCAUUUGAAAGCUUAAGAAUGCGAAGCUUCACACGUAAAAAGAAAAAGAGAAUUGGCUUGUCCGUCCGUGAGGGAAAGAAAUGUUCUUACUUCUUUAUUUUUUUGAUCGGUAUGUUCUUACUUCUUUGCUUUAGCCUUUUGGCCCGACUGUUCAGGUACUAUUGGAUUUUGCGAUUUUUUUAUGAUAAACAUAAUUAAUUUUGGGACCUCAUGUUCCGAUUGUUUAUAAUUUUUAUUGUGACAAUUUGCAACUUUUGAAAGGAAACAAGCAACACAAGAUAUGACAUGAUCUUAAAUUGACGAAAAAAAGAGAAACUAAAAGCAAAGUGAGUUGGGUGGCCACAUGUGUACAUUUUAGAGCCUCCCUCCCCAUGCACUAUUAAUGAGUUAUAAAUAUAGACAUCAUUCAUAUUUAAUUUUAGUUAAGUUUGCAUAUUGGUAUUUCUAUAAGUUCGACACCAAUCAAGAUAUAAUUAGAGGUAAUUUUUUCCAAGUAGGUACAGAGGAAAAAGUGACAUCGCUUGAUAACGAGGAAAAUCACUUCAAAUUAGAUACAUUAUAAUCACACUCUUAGGCUACAUGCACCUGGAAUAAGAAUGUGAGAUCUCAUUCUUACAUUUUAGGGAAUGUUUCAUUCUACCCUUCAUGACUUGGAAUUUGGUGCAUGUCCGAUCUCAUCAAACUUUAAAAAGCCACAUCCCUCUUCCGUAUAAUCCAAACUUGUAUUUUGUUAUGCUCAUUAACACUGCUAACUUUUUUUUGAACGACACAUGUCUUUUAUGGGAUAAAUAAGAUAUAUAUCUUAUAUAAUCUAAAAUGCUUUUUUUGAAUGAUAUACACCUUUUAUUAAAAGAUAAAUUCUUGAUAUGACUACCAUUGAUUGUCUAAUUGGUGACAGAUUACUCGUAAUGAAGAAAUGUUGUUUUAUCGUGUUUGCGUCACAUCUCGGAUCACGUCCAUGGUUAACUACAAAUUUAUCUUUGUGCUAAGUUAAACGAGUAUCUAUUGGCUUUUUUGGCAUUGUAGAAGUUGUAUUUACAGAAUGAAUAGUACGUCUCCUUUCAGAUGCUCUCUUUUCCAUCCCCCACUUGCGUCGCAUCUCGUGUCACGUCCAUCGUUAACUACAAAUUUAUCUUUGUGCUAAGUUAAACGAGUACCUGUUGGCUUUUUUGGCAUUGUAGAAAUCGUAUUUACAGAAUGAAUAGUACAUCUCCUUUCGGAUGCUCUCUUUUCCAUACCCCCCUCCUUUUGUCCUUCCUUCUUCUUUAAUUUUUUUUCGUUAUUUUUCCUUUUUUCUUUCCUACCGAAAGAACGGAGUACUCCUUUGGUGGGUGGCGAGAGAGAGGGGUUGGGGGGGGGGGGGGGGGGGGGGGGGGGGGGGAAAGGAAGGGGAAUUAUGGAAAAUAACCUCAUAUUACACCUUACAAGUCACAAGUGGGGUUGUAUCUCAAUUAGAUCUGAAUGAAAAAUGACCAAAGCCACUUCAUUCACAGUUAAUUUGGUGAAGGAUGAUGAACCGUUAUUUCGUGAUUAGAGUCAUGAGUAAUGCAUUGAGACAUGUAAUUGCGCUUGUACUGCAUCGGCCAGGGCCUUUCUCUAUCAUCGUGUUUCGCAAAUGGAAAAAUCGGUCUUUCGAUCUCAUGAAUCGCGGACGCAUCUCUCUCUCUCUUCCUUUCCUCUUUUCCUUUUCUGCUCGUUAUUCCAUGGUGGAACAGAUGCAGAGAAACGCAGUCCCUUUGUCUCAUCGUGAAUUCACAGUGCUUGAGCGAGGUGUAAAAAGAAACGCUUGUGAUAUUUGACCGACUGCUCCACGGGGGGACCUUUGUCACUUUCAGCAUCCGUCUGUACCGCUCUUCUUUCCAAGUCUGCAAAGCCACGGACUUCUUUUUGGCGUGUCAAUGUGAAACACGCUGGUCGCGCCCACAUCAAUUAUUACGUUCCCCCAAUCAGUACGUUCCCUUUGUUCACUCUCAUUCAAGUUCUGUGCAGCAUGUGACAAGAGAUUCCGUAAUUCUUGUCUUCGACGAAAAUAAUUAUCAGAAAUCAACGUUUACUUGUCGAGGCCACUGUGUCAGGAAAUAGUACGGGUAAUAGUAGGGAACUAUUUGGGAGACGUACAGUAGAUAGAUGCUUUCGCGAGAACAUGAAGAUGAGGAGCUAUGAAGUCAUAUGAUAAGCUGAGGUUCUUUCAAAGUUUGUGGGCUUCAAACUGAGGAAAUUAACAUAGAGAAAAACAAUUGUAAUGGUAACUGUGCGACAAAUAUUUUAUUUGCGUGUUAUAAUUAUACCACAUUUACAAAUAAAUAUCUCCAGAGUUGCUCAUUAUAAUAUUUUUCAUGUUAUUGCCGUGCUUCCAUGCCCAACAACAAUUGAUGGUAAGUGAUAUCUGCUUUUAGAACGAAUUUCAGUCUAAAUUUACCUUCACAUGAUUUUCCAAUGAAACCAUAAACAAUCUCCUUCUUUUAUUAUUAAAAAUUUGAAGACAUGGUAUAAUUUUUGCAAUGCUCAAUUGCUCAUAGCUCAAAGCUGGAGAGUCACGAUGAUUACCUGAUUCGGAAUGGUACCCAACCCACGUGGUGGGGGCCAUGAAGUGACGUUUUCUUUGACAAAAAUCGAGACCAGAAAAAGCAUAGCAGAAGAUCUUGCUUACAGAGAUUUAUCUCUUGACAAUAUCGCAAAGAUUUAUCUAUUGACAAUAUCUUCCGGUAGCUUUACCAUUACUUGUAUCCGUACUCGAUUUGCUCUUUCGUUCCCACCGACUUUCCUUCCGACUCAAUGAUUCUCCUUUCCAUGACUCCCUCCAUUUUGAGCUUCAUUAGCUAUUUAUUCGGUCCUGCGAAUUCGCUAUUAGAACUGAUAAAGAUAAUUGGAGAAGUUUAUCAUCGAUAAGAUUCUGACUUUUUUCAUGAUAUUAUAGGUUAAUCAUCUUGACUUACACGUUCUUAAUGAUCUAUCACGAUCUUUUCGAGUAAGAUGUCCGUCAAAAAUAAAGAAUUUAGAUGAAUGGACAUUCAAGAUUUAACUAUGUGAUCUUUUGAUGACGCUUAUCAUUCUCAAUGACCUUAGCUUUCCCACAUGUUUAAUCAACAUAAUACUUGACUUGGAGGAAUCUUCUCUCUCUCCUAGACCCUUGAAAUCAAUUUUGACAUCCCAAACAUAAUAGAUUCACAAGUAGCGAGUAUUUUUUAGCUGGCACCAAAAGUAUAAAUACUCUGAUUCCGUGGUUCGUUAGAAGUUUCGCAUAUUUUACUAUUUGGUUGUGCUAUAACAAUAGACAUAAUAGAACAUUUUCUUUAGAUGUGUACGCAGUCACUUGGAUGGAUGGAUUUUUUUUUUGUCUCUUUAAUGUGUAGUCGAGCUCUUCCUUUUUCACCGAUUUUGAAAAAGGAGGAGGCAUUGAUGGUUGCAAUUACUAACCUUUAUUUUCUGUAGCAAAAAAAUAAAAAAAAAAGCUUUAUUUUCUUUGAGUGUAAGUCAUUUCUACAAAAAUCUCAAUUCCUCCCACGACAAUGUUUAAAUCCCAAGGAGGUUAGUUCGAUAUGGUGUGCUUUGCUAAUCUCUGCCCUCCCCUUGCAUUUCGCAAUACAAAUGCAACCCUCUACAUGUUUAUUCCUUUGCGAAACUCAAGCAGUCUCUUUGAUUAUAAUACUUACCAAUGGCAGCAUUGUUUCUUACACGAAAGAUUAGUUUCGCAGAGCAAAGGACGUAGCAAAAAUGCGAUUCCCAAUCCUGCUCUUGCAUGCAGUGAUGCUUGCUCUUCUCUAGAAAUUACUCAAUUUUUUUCUUUUUAAAUGUGUAUAAUGUGAUGGUGGAUUGUCCAUUAAUAGGGGGCUUUUUAUUUUUGUGGUUGAUCAAGUACCACCGAACAUGAGAAAAAUUAUUAUCGAAGAUGACAUGGUGCCUGCAUCGCUGAGAUGUGGCAACUGGCAAGUAGUGUAGGCUUCUAUACAACAUAUAGAUGUUCAGGAUUGAGACCCUGUGAUGGCCUCACCAAUUGCUGCAUGAAGCAAGACGCCCGCAUCCAAGUUUUCAGCCCAAAAUGAAAACCGCAAAUAUUAAAAAGAACCAGAAAACCCAAUUGAAGUUGUAAGCUAUGUAGCACGGACACUCUCCGGAAGCCUUUGUGUCGUGUCCGACACUCCGACACGUGUCCGACACGCUCCGACAUGUCCCGACACGCUCCGACAUGUGGUUAACGAGUGUUGAAAAAUCCGACACGUGAUCAACUCUCUCCGACACGCGAGUCCAAAAUUUCGACACGUGAUUCCGACACGCACGGGGUCAAUUUUAAAAAUUUCUAAUACUUGAGGGGUCAAAAUAUAAAUAUACACAAAAUAAGUAAUAAAAGAAAUAAUAAAAUUGUUAUAAAUAUACAUGCAUGGGAUCAAUUUUUUUUUUAUAAUUGUUUUAGUUUUUUUUUAAAAGCUUUUACUAUGAAAGAAGUAAUAAAAAAUACUAUAUAUGAUAAAUAAAUAAAUUUAAAAAUAUCAUUUUAGCAUUUUUCUUUAAAUAAUGUUUUUUCCUCUAAGUUUUAUAUAUUAUUAUAACAAAUUAAAAUAAUGAAUGAUAUUAUUUAAUAUUUUUCAUGUAAAUUAAUUCUAGGCUAUUAUUAUUAUUAUUAUUUAUGUAUUUAUAUAUAAAAAUAUAUUUAAUAUAUAACGUGUCGGAACGUGUUGAAAUUCUCUAUUUUUAAGAAAUGACAUGUCGACGUAUCGUGUCGUGUCGUGUCGCGUGUCACAUGUCUGUGUCAGUGCUACAUAAGUUCUAAGGGGCCUAAUGGUUAAAGAAAAAGUUUUAAUUUUAGUUUUCAAUGUAAACGAAAAUUUUUCAUUUCUGGUCUUUUGUUCCCUUGAGCAUAUGCUCGGCUUGUAGAAAUAAGAACUUCAUGUAAAUUUAGACCUGUUUGCCGUGCCUUUGCAAUCCGUCAUUAUGCACCUUCUCCAGCAAAAUUUUACCCAAUUGAGUUGGAAUUAAUAGAUAUCCUCUCUCGAUGGGAAUCCUACCCCAAUGGUGGUAGUUUUCACCCAGAAAACCCUGAUGCUCUUCACUGAAUACAGCAGUCAUUUCAUCUAGUCUCUACCAAGAUGCAAAUCUCCCGUUUCCUUUUCAACUUUGGCCCUUUACCCAAAAUCCCCAGCCUUCCCAUAAAUCAUGUUCACUGUUCCAUAAGCUAACCCCAACCCAGCUUCCGAUACAACCCAAUCUUCAUUCUAUAGCAUCACGCCCUACAAGUACAGGGCAUGCGAUCAAUGACCAUAAUAUCAGCUGAAAGCAACAACCCUAGUUAAUCCUCGCCCAAAUUUCUAACCCAAAAUCCUGACCUACCGUAACAGCCUCCCAGAGCAUUGCAUUGUCUUUUGACAGCAUUUUGCCAUUACAGUGUAUAGCGAUACAACCCCGAGAAUGAAUUUACAGGAAUGGCUGCUUCUGGCGUACUUUUCUCACAGGGAGUAAGGUGCCUGCCUUUCGUGCAUCUUCAAUGGAAGAAUUCAUGGAAGAAUUCGACACCUCAGAUUAUCGAGUUGCUAUCCUCUGCAGAAAAUUGGGCAACUUUUGGUCAGAAAAAAGACCUGGCAGAGAUAUAGAUGGUAUGGUCCCAACUGAGAGAAUAUAAGAAUGUCGUCUAACUAUGUUUGGGCAAUUGUUCUACAACCCCAAUAACAAUCUCCAAGCCUUCCCCAACACUAUGAAGAGGGCAUGGAGAGUGGAUUCAGUUACCUUUGAUCGGGUAGACUCGAGAACUUUAGCCUUUACCUUUAAGUCUGAAAAUGAAAUGAACAGAAUUCUUGAGACAAGGCCUUAGUCUUUCUCUAGCAAUCCUUUGGUGCUUAAACCAUAGACAUCAACUACUUCGCAGUACAGUUACGAUUACACACAUUACGAGUUUUAGGUUCAAGUGCACAGAUUACCUACGGAUUGGGUCUCAGAGGAAACCAUAAGGCAAAUAGCAGCAGCAGCGGGCUUGGUAACUGAAGUGAAAAUUGAUACAAAGGGGUUUAGCUCCUAUACAGGUGGAAAAGCUAGAGUAAGAACUGAUUUAUUGUCCACCUUGAAACCGGGACAUUUGCCAGCCAAGGAGGAAAGAAACUAUGGGUUGACUUUAAAUAUGAGAGAUUACCGCACUUUCGUUAUGCAUGUAGUUGCAUAGGGCAUUAUGCCAAGUUCUUCGAGGAAGAAGAAUAUGACGAGAACUGGUUAGAAAUUGAUGAUCCUAGUUGCUUUGGAAGAAGAGCCCUCUUUGGAAGCUGUUCUAUGCAAAACCAGAGGAUAUAAUCAUAGAUGAUGAGAUCAUUCCAGAAACUCCUACCCCCACCCUGCAAAUGGUGUCCUAUGUGCCUAUGGGAAAGAAUCCGUUGGUUCCUAGUAGUUGGAACAAUCUGGAAAAGUCAGCAUAGAUUUUUACAAAGAAGAUAGAAGCAAUUGGAAAAGGUGGCAUCAGUCCAUAUAAAAACAAAGAAAAAAGCUUGACGUUGAUAACAACUCCAAACCACUCUACAAUGCUGGAAGGUAGCUCAAAAGGCCCCCAAAAAGAAAUAUAACAAGGGGAAGAAAACAGGUGGAAACAAAACACAGUGAAGGUAUAGUCCUUACGCUUCUCAAAAGGUGAACUCUCUUGCCCUAAAUGAGACCAAACUUUCGUAGACUCCAAUUCAGGUUUUGGAGGAUCCUAAGAUACGGGCUUUGAUGACUAUCACUAAUAAGUCACUGAGGUUCCCAUGAUAAUUUUUUGCUGGAAUUAUUAGGGGUUAGGCACACCCAAGGCAAUAUUGGCAUUGAGGUCUGGAAAGGCCCAGCAUUAUUUUUCUGAUGGAAACAAAGAAUCAAGAAUCUGUGGUAUGAGCUUGAAACGAAUCCAAUUCCAGAACUGUGCAGUGAUGAAUUCAAAUGGAAUUGCAGGGGGAUCAGCAAUUUUACGGAAUGACAUGGUGGCACUAACAAUGGAAUCAAUCACAAAUGAAAUGCUUGACUUGACCUAAUUUGUACAGAUAGUGGAAACCAUAUGAGAAUUACCUUUGUACAUGCUCCAAUAAUCAGCCUCCAAAACCAGCUUCCGUCAAUUUGGUUUUUGUAUCAUUGGGAAAAAGUACGCAAGCAUAUGGUGGAGCACCAAAGGUCAAUGGCUUUUUGAGAUAUUAGACAUUAUAAAUGCAUGAUCUUUAAUGGAUCUUGAAUGUAAAGGAUGUGCAUUUACAUGGCAAAUAAUAGGAAUGGGGAUGCCCAUGUGAAAGAAAGACUAGAUAAAGCUCCAUGCAAUGUGGAAUGAAGAGUGACAUCCCAGAAGUGGAAACGUAUGCCUCUUAUAGGCACCGACCAUAGUCCUAUCUUGCUAACUCUCUCAACGGAACCUGCAAAAAGAAAGAGAGAAAUUAAGUUUGAAGCAUACUAGCUUAAAGAUAAUGAAUGUGGUCAGCUAGUAAGUUUAGUGUGGAAUACUACAGGCAUGGAAAUGAACAUUUUCUGAAGAAACUACAAAAAGAAAUAGAGGCCCUAAAGAAGUGGAGCAAGCAGAAGUUCUCUAAUGUUAAUAGUCAAAUCAACUGCUUGAAUUGGGAGCUUUAGGAGUCAACAAAUGAGCUGAACUUGCAUCAUGACAGGGACAAAAUGCAGCAACAGAAAAUGCAAUUGAAGACCUGUGGAAACAAGGAGAAAUGCACUGGGGCAUGCGCUCAAGAAUAUACUGGCUGAAUAGGGUGAUAGAAAUGCUGAGGAAGCGCAAUGGAAUGAGCACAUGCUGUUCUCUCGUUUUGAUGAGCAUUUAGUAAAUGAUAUUCUAGCUAUCCCACUCUUAACGCCGAUGAAGACUAGCUAGCCUGGACACGCAACCAAGCAGGAGGUUAUGAUGUUAAAAGUGGCUACAACCAACUCCAGGACAUUGAGACUAAGCAUGAAGCAAAUCAAGCCUCAUCGUUCUACCAAACUCCAAAAGCCCUUUGGACUAAGGCAUGGAAUCUAAAGACUCAACCCAAAGUAAGGGUGUUUAUGUGAAGUGUGAGCAGAAAUGCCCUACCACAAGAGAAAACCUACUCAGAAGGAAGAUUGUACCUGAGUCGACAUGCCCUCUUUGCGAAAAGGAACCUGAAACUGUCAAACAUCUGUUCCUUCUUUGUCAAAGGACGAAACAGGCAAGGUUGGCCUCUGAGAUCGGCAUCACAUUUGAAAUCAGGAAGUUAUUUGAAUUGAAGGAUUGCCAUUGAAGAUUGGUAACGACCUCAAAGGCCCCGUCUUUUGAACUGAUCACGGUCACUUUUUGGCACAUUUGGACAUAAAGAUAUUCCUCUAUUUUCAAGCAUCACUUACCAGAUCCUGCAACAACAAUGGUGUCUAUCAUGGCUAUGCAUAUGAAUCUCUCGAAAUGGAAUGGCCGAGAAUAAGAGAAUAGAAACAACCCAGGACACUUACCCAUAAGAUGGAAACCACCAAGUCCUCAAGCCAAACAUCGACAGAACUUCCACGAAGGAUCUUCCAAAGGUUCCAUGGCGUGCGUCUGCCAUGAUUUUGAGGGGAAACUAAUUGAUGGGUCCACAGUAAACUAAUUGAUGCCUUUUCUCACGUAAUUGGGCCUGUACUUGGUGAAAGAAAAGCUUGCUUAUGACCAAAAAAAUUUUGUUUAACACUAACUAUAAGAAAUUUUCAGUUGAUAAAAAUAAAUUCCAUAAUGAAAGAAGUUACAAAGUUACUAAUUUAUUGACAUAUUGUAAAUUUGUCAGAGUGCUACACUUGUAAAUUUUGAGAAAAAGUUGGUUGCUAACUUAUUCAUUGGAAUGUUGGUAAAAUCAUUUUAAGGUUUGUAAAAUUUGAUGAGGCACUGUGACCCAUCUUAACGCCUUCCAUGAUCCAGAGCAUGACCACCCCUGAAGCAUUGAGUUGACUUACUUUGCUGGCUGGUGUUAGUGACCUUUGAGCCUGUGCCACAGGCAAAACUUUGCUUGCAUUGCUUACAGCACACCCUUCUGCAUCCAGGACUCGCAAUUUCUAUUGUGAAGUGUUCCCAGAUGAUGGACUUCUUGUUUCUCCACUUGUUGGGCUGUGUUUCAAGAGUUUUCACAUUGUUGUUUUCUUCUGGGGUUGCCAUCUUCCACCAAAAAACAAAUUCCCGCCCAAUAAAGUCGGAGAUAAAACAACAAAAGAAAAAAGACAGGUAUGAAAGAGAAGGAGAUUUAGAAUAUUUCGACAGCAUGAGGCAAGAUAUAUUAAAAAAAUCACUGAUGAAUGGACUUGAACCAAAUAUUAGAGUAAGAUGUACAGAAGAUCAGUACAAGGAUUAAAAAUCUUUUUAAAAAAUUGAACAAUGGUGGCCAAUCAUAGGGAGUUGGUAAAUUAGCUUUGAAUAUGAUGAUGAGAGUUUAGAGACCUUUAGUUAGCAACAAAACAUCAUUUUCCUCUUUGUAUUGCAUUAUGUAGGUCAGGGAUCCAAACUAUGGCGAAUGUUCCUGCAUAAAGUCCACACCAAAAGCACUCCAAGAACCAGAAGGCAGACCACACAGGUACCUGCAUUUUAUACGCAGGAAACACAAUCUAGUAGUAGCUUUAACAUUUGAUACCUCAUCUCACGGAUCCAACAUGAGUUAUCAUGGUCGGUGGUUUUGGUGAUCUAUGUGUCAAGAAAGAACCAACUUUUGUUGGCCUGUCAUAGUUAUAGAAUUCUAAUCCUCGAUCUAGCUGAAAAAUGCAAACAAUAGUAGGCUAAUGAAUCUUUUUCACAAGCCAAUUCAACUUCUCAUAGUCAACUUACACACAAUCAUCAAGUGCAGCCAAAGAACUUACAUCUGAAUGAAAAGGAAGGGAACUACACAAAUCACCUCAGUCUCCUAGAUAUAUCAGACACGAAAAAGCAUCCAAGCAGAAAGAAAAGUAUUGAACAAAGGGAAAGCUCGAAGCACGUCCCAAUUACAGAGAACUAACAGAGACAAAAAAGAAAAUGCCAUGAUUGCUAAUGCCCUUUUUUCAGUCGUUGAAAAUGAAGUAAAAGCUUUAAGGCAUCCACUGGCAUCAGAUUUGCACAUACCACUUUCCAUUUUACAGUCAAUUAAAAAAUUUCAGAACGCACCACACAAAAUCCAUUAAAAAGUCUGCCAGCAUGCACUACGAAUUGAGCGAGAGGUGGUUGUUCUUUAGAAAUCCUCCAUAACUCAUAGAACAAGUAGACACACAUGUCGUGAUUCCUCUCCACCAAUAAGUGUAUCCCAAAAAAACAAGCAUAAAGAGAGCAAAAUUUAACUGAUCGAUGGAGUACCAACUAAUUCCCGAUGCCCAUUUUGAAAGACUCGAAUUUUUUUUGUAAGAAUAGGGUCCAAAGCUAUCAAUCCUCCAUCGAGCAAUUCACACAGCGUCUCCACCUUCGAAUCAGCCACGGUUGGGUUGGUGGUCGGAGCUUUCUUCCGGGUUGCAGAGCCGCCGUCUGGUCGCACGCUGCCGGCGCCACCGGACCUCGACCCGAUCACGGAGGUCGAACGAAAGACACAAUCGAAACAAUUUUUGAAUUGGGGGGGAAGGCUUUGCGUGAGCCGGAGUUUUUGCUUUUAGUUUCUUUCAGAAUCCUUCGCCUUUCAACCCUCAUCGCUGCCGCCGCUCCUUUUGUUGGAUGAAUGCUGCUGCUGCUGCUGUGAAGAUGGAGCAAAUUGGAGCUCCUUCUGGCGGAUGAGAAGCACCAUUCGCUCGUCUCGAGCUUGGCUCUCUCGUCUGGGUUCCAUCAACGAAUCUUCAGUUCCCAAAUGCCUCCGAAGAUCACGCCACCUAAGCCAUCGGGUUCCAUCAAAAGACAUAUUUUUAUCUUCAGUUCGCCGCUAUGAAUCUUCCUUCCCUCUCAGAAAUGAAUCUCCUAUUCUCGAUUUUGCCAAUAAAGACACUUUUUUUUUACCUGGCCAAAUGCCCCGAACCAGACUUUUUUCCCCUGCAAUGAAAAAGCAGAGGCAUUCCCACGCAGCUCUACAGGUAAAAAGGACAUACCUAAGUCAGUCAAAUCUCAAGAAAUCCCGAAAAUGCAACACCAAGUUCCCGGAAAGCCUCAUCCAUGCAGUGCAAGAUUCCUCUUUUUUUUUUUUCUUAAAUAAAAAAACUCAGUUCAGGAUAUAUAGCGAGCAUGGCAACUGGUUUUGAGAAGGGAUGUUUUUUUAUGGGAGUUGACAAAAAGAACUGCCCGUGGUUUUGAGAAGUCACACCCAUCUUUGGAAGCCAAAACACACGAGAAAAGAAGGAAGAGAGUGUAUUCAUACGCAGGAGGGGGAGAGAGGGAGUGCAAAUUUAACCAACUUUAUUUUGAUUGUAUUUUCAGCAAUUGCUCGGACGGUGGGGCACUUGGCUGAGAGUUCUGAGGUUAUGAAUUUUGUUAAUGACCUUAUGAAAGCUCCUGAAAUGGCUGUUCCCAAGGUACAUUUCUUGUAUCGGUUGAUGUGAUUUUAUAAUUUGCAUGAUGCACUCUCUCCUAUGGGGGUGUUGUCAAUUGUGUAUUUGCAUAUUAAUGUUCCUUUUGUUGUCAACGUUCAUAUUCAGAAUGACGAGGGUGAUACCUAUAUUCAAGCUUUUUCUGAUGAUAUGUGGCUAUUGAGAGACAACGGAAACUUUAUCUCCUUUUCGGCUUUAUCAUUUUCAAAUAUGCUGAUAAUUUGAACCUUCAUGAGUGGAUGAGAGAUGAGAUAAUGAAAUGAACGACUAUAUCGACAUGACCUUAUAGUGCACAAUUCAAGAACAUUAUCUUGAGCAAUUUGGGAAUGUUAGUUCUCCAUUUCUUGCUCACUUGCUGGAAUAUGGCUUGUGAAGUGGGAAAAAAUUGGAAAUGCAAAUUGUGAAAUGUUUUUGUUACUUCUGAUCAUAAAGUUGUGAAAACAAUGGGUUGUGGAGUAGCCUGCAUCCUGCGGCAUACGAAUAGCGGAGGUAUAUAUUUGAUUGCUAGAUGUAGUUUGUUUAUAUGAUAUAUAGGCUGGUGUGAUCGAAGAAUUUGUGAAUGACAUGGUUGACGCGGCUCUUGACACGGAGGACAUGAAGAGGAGAUAGACGAAGAGGUUGAUAAGGUCUUGACAGCCAUUGCCGGUGAGACAGCUGCUCAACUUCCGGUGGUAGUGAGGAAGCAAAAGGUGAAGCAAUCUGCUCAACCUAUCAACCUACUGCAGAAGAGGUACAUCUGCUAGUUCCUUACCGAUGGAACUUAUUUUUGGUCAUUCUUUUAUUUCCCCGAUAGGGAGCUAAUUGAGAAACAAUCACUGCUGCAUUCCUACUUUUUUUCAUGUAUCAAUGAAUUUGGAGUUUGUAGGAUGGGCGGUAGCCGAGGGUGUUGAUGAUGAGGAAGAACUAGAAGAAAUGAGAGCUCGCCUUGCAGAAGUUAGGUCUUUAGUUCCAAUUUUUCUACUGUACACUUUUGACAGCCCAAAAGGCAGGGAAAGGAGGGGUAAACUCUAUUUCGCCUAACGUGGGAGGAAUGCGGGUCCCCUGAUUGAUGUAGAGGAGAUCCUAUAAAACACUUGAACGGUCAAUGAAAAAUGGUGUAAUGAUGUAUAAAUAUGCGAGUUAUGUAUAAACUUGAGCUUGUGGUGAAUAUUGGGUACGUGGGUCGACAAAUUUACUAAUAUUGUGUAACACCUGAGCCAGAGCUUCCAUUCUUUCAACAAAAGCAGAGAUGGAGCAAGUGUCAAGUGAUGGAGGAGCGGCCGCUUGACGAACCUUGGAGCAGCAACAAUAAACGCCGCGUAGCAAAUGAGAGCGAAAGCAGAGAUUCAAAUUAGAUAUUAAGCCAUUUUCGGCUCUAAAUGAAAAACACAAAUAAAGAAAAGAACGAGCAUUACCCAAAUUGAAGUUGGUUCAUGAAAAAAGGUUUUAGCUUUCGUUUUCAAUGUAAAGGAAAAAUAAAAGAUCUUCAUUUCUCCUUUUUUUUUCCUCUUGAAAAUAUGUUUGGUUAGUAAAAGAACUUCGGAUAGGACUCAAAAUUUAAACAUGUUUAUGGUGUCUUUGCAAUCCAUCACUUCGUACAUUCUUUGAACUAAUAAUCCCAUCUUUUCAUUUGGUGAUUACAAAGUACCAUAGCCGGCUAUCAAGAAAAAUCGUCUUAUGAAGUAGGAGAUGCGGAUGAAAUUGGCAAUACAUCUCUACCGCGAAUAAUGCGACCUGCUUUAUUUACCUUUGAAAGGAAACUAUUAAAACAUCCAUUUUCAAGAGGCAUCUAAACCUCUCCUCGCUGUACAUGCAACAAAAAUCUUGGAUACAGUCAAAGAGCCUAUGAAUUACUUCAGUACUCUAGAACUUGAUCGGUAGGCAAAAUUCCAGCCAAUGGCCUUACAAUAGAGUCUCUGGAUAGACAUGCUUGACUUUUAUUGGGUAUAGUAGCUUGAAGAGCGAUGCGGUUCGAGGUAGCCAGUCUCUUAGGUCCCUACUUUUUCAGGGCGGAUGAAGUUACUGACAAGCAGGAAAUGUUUAGCACAAAACUAGACUAAGAAAAUUAGAACAUCACAUACUAAAAGCCAAAACCCUGUUAUCUAAUGAGAAAAGUAAGGCCUUGUACAUGAGAUCUGGUGUCCCUGAUCAUCGAUUCAGUAUAGAAACGAGACGAAG